rnacentral:lncRNA from 1 species
UUUUUUUUUUUUUUUUUUUUUUGGAGGUUUUCAUCCGGUGUUCGAUGUCCGCAUUAAAGCUUCGACUAAUUCGAAUAGCGCAUUACAGGGCCCAUUAAGAUGGCAGUUCCCAACAAAGUUUUUCCUGUAUCCAGGGUCAAACCCUCGAUUUCUGAUUAAGGAUGGAACAACCCCAUUGAGUGCACCACAACUCUUGUUGGUUUUUCAUAUUCCUACUACUCUUUUCUUAUAAUGACAUAUGUACUCCAAAUAUUUAAAGAAAACAGAAUAAAAAAUUAUAUAUUAUAUAUACUAUUUCUUUUAAUUAAACAUAAAACGAGCUAGUGUUGUAGUUAAAAUGUGACCAUCAAGAGACUAACUCCGCCCUUCAAUCCAUUUUAUUUGGUCAUUUUUUUAUCUUAUAAUAAUAUAGUUAAAAAAAUUGUAAAUAAAAUAAAUAAUUAUACUAAUUUACUUCUUGUUCAUUUUAGUACAGAUAUCAAGAUCCUUUAUUUUUAAGAUUUUAUCUUGAUUUAAUAAGUGCAAAAAUAAUUUAGAACAUGUAUUCAUCUUAAUGAUAUGAUUGAUACUAAUUCAAAUGUCUUAUCAUUUGUUUUAAAUUACAUUAAAAAAUUUCUAAUCUAAAUAAUUUGAGUUCACAUGAAAAGACUACUGAAGAGACAAAAUUCGAAGUAUAAACAUUUGAUCUAAGUGAGGAGAAAAUCAUAAUCCUUCCAUAUGCAUCGAAUUAAUGUCUUAUAACAAUUAAUUAAUUGUACUUUGUCAAAAUAGGAUUUAUUAUCCAGGAUUUCUGUACUAUUUUGUCAAGAGAAGUGGUACCAAAAUGAGAAAAUUAUAUUCUCAAAUUAGAUGGAAAAUGUAUAGUUUUGCCCCUCCAUCUAAUUAGGGUUAGACAACUUUCACUUUCUUAGCUUCAUGUUGAUUUUUCAUUAUAACCACAUUAGUUUCCUUUCACCAUUAAGUGUACUUAAUUUAUGAGCGUUUACAAUUUAAAGUUUAUGAAUUUGUAUAUUAAUCUCAAGUCAAUAUUAUAACAAUAAUUUGAUUUAUAAUCAAUUUUUUUUUAAUAUUUGAUUAAAAAUUUAAUAAAUAUUUAGAGAAUAAGAAAAAAAGCUAUUAAUUUCCGUGAAUUCAUAUAAAAACUUCUAAAUCCACCCAUGUUUGAUUUACUACGUUUAAUUGGUUUGAGUCAUGGGUUAGACAAUCUCAUACAUGAAAAUAUCGAUUUUUAUUCAUGUUUUGUAUUCCUAUUAAUUAUUGAUUGCAUGAAAUUGAGUCCACUAAUGAGUCAAUCUUUUUGAUUGCUCAUAUGUACAUGAAAUCAUGACUAAAUUAGUAUAUAGGAUCCGUAAUUAGUAGUAUUAAGAUUUAGAUUAUGUACACUAAACUUGUUACGUGUCUACGUUACUCCGUUUGCCCGAAAAUUUUCAUCCCAUAUUUACAUUAAACUAGAAACUUUUGUUAUUUUAUUUUCCAAUCAAAUAGUACUAAAAGAUCCUCCAGCAUUCUACUCCAUCCGAUCGUUUUAUUUGUCAUGUCUAUCAUUUAUAUGCUUUUAGAAAAAUAAUAAACAAAAAAGUAGUUUAAUUAUAUUCUUUCAUCUCAAUAUAAUAUAAAUUCUUCAUCAUAUUAAUCUCUAUCUAUAUUUUUAUUAGAAUAAGAGCAAGGUGGAAAAACAAUAAUUUUAUUUUAAUUUUCUAAAUGAAUACUCCAUAUUCUAGACCAGUUACUUCAAUAGCGUUGACAAAUGACACAUAAAAUAAAUCGGAAGGAUCAUUAAUUAAUAGCUUGAUAAUUUGAAAACUAAAUAGUAACAUCUAUUGUAACAAAACUUAAAAGAAAACAAUCUCAUGAAAUAUUACAAGAUUAUUAUAUAAUGGCAGUCCGUCUGGUCAUUCUGUAUGGAGCAAAGUGUUGGUCAGUCAAAAACUCUUACAUUCAAAAGUUGAAGGUUACGAAAAUAAAAAUAUUGCGAUGGAUGUGUGAACUUACUAGGGGAAAUAGAGUUAGAGAUGGGACUAUUCGGGGGAAGAUGAGAAUGACUUCGGUGGAGGACAAAGUGCGGAAAGUGAGGUUGAAAUGUUUUGGGCAUGUGAUGAGAAAGGACACCGAUGCCCCAGUUCAUAGGUGUGAAAGGUGGGUCUGGGAUGGUUUCAAUCGGAGUAAAGUUAGGCAGAAGAAAUACUGGAGAGAGGUGAUUAGAUGUGACAUGAAUCAGUUACAACUUACUGAGGACAUGACCCUAGAUAGCAAGGUAUGAAGGAUGCAGAUUAGGUUGGAGGGUUAGUGCGUGUGGGUGAGUCGUAGUCAGUAGUUAGGAGUGCUUUGGUAUAGUUUGGCUAGUAGUCUUAAGACUUUGUACAUAGGUUGAAGUUUCUAGUUAGGAGUUUUUGGUAUAGGUGUGUACCUUUGAUUUCUGAGGAGUAUAGUAUUACUUUGUGGGUGUUUUAUCUCUGUUAUUUUAUCUUGUUUCGUGUUUUAUUACGAUUUUAUUAACUGCCUUUUUGUCAUGAGUUGGGGGUCUAUUGGAAACAACCUCUCUACUUGUUCGAAGUUAAUGGUUGGGGGUCUAUCAGAAACAAUCUCUCUACUUCUUCGGAGGUAAUAGGAUGGACUGCGAACAUUUUACUCUCCCCAAACCCCACAUUUUACUCUCUACUUUUUGUUGUUGUUGUUGUUGAGUUAUCCACCAUACAUAUGGAAUAACUUAUUUCAUUACUAUGGUGUAAAUGAUGGAAUAAAUAAUCUCAACACUAACUCAUACCAAACAUGAGAUCUGAGACUAUUUACUUUAUAGAAGGGAUAAAAAUAACUAAUCUCAUAAUUAAUUUAGUAUAAGAGUUUAUACCAUAUUUAAUUGAAACAAAAUACAUAAAACAACCCGUCAUCACAGUAUUAAUAAUUUUAAAAUAACUCAGAUUUUCAACCAAACAACCUAUUAGUAUCUCUUAUCCCGAGUACCGAGUGAGCUCGUUCAACUAGUCUUACUUCCAAAAGUACUUAAAAGACCUUUCCACUUUCUUUCUUUUAUAAAUAAAGAUGGCGGAGAAUUUGGGAGAACAAGCAAACUGGCUCUAAAGCUGGCACAACAUCACUUUCUCUUCUCCCCGCAUUUCUAUAUUCCAAAAUACUCUUCAGGUACUGUUCAUCGCUCUGUUUUACUUUCUUCUUCUUGUUGCUCAUUCUCCAUUGUUAUUCGUUAAUUUUCCAUUUCUUUCAUUGGAUCUUAGAUAAAUUAAUUAGAGGAUUUUGUUGUGGGUUUGAGCAGAUGGCGGCGAGCUCGUCCCCACAACCACAGUUUAUGACAAACACUGCAAAUAGGAGCCUUUCAAAUCAGCCACUGAUUGAUGAUAUCGAAUGUGAUCAGAUUGUUGUACCCGACGUCAGUCUUUUCUCUCUCCUCCCCUUCCCUACUACUAGUACAUCAUCUUUUAGUUUUCUUCCUCUUUAUUCUGUCUUUUUCCGCCUUUUUGUCUUAUCUCUACUUAAAUGAGACAACUAAUAGUAUAUUUUUUUAUUUUUUUUUUCUAAAAUAAUUAUUUUAUUUCAUAUAAUACGCUAUUGUUUUACCGUAUAUUUCGAAUCAAAUUUUAAAAAUUUGUCUUUAGCCAUAAAUUUUGGAUCUAACUUUUAAUUUUUUUUUUUUAAGUGAAAGAAAUUUUACUUUUAAGUAAUUUCAUUUCAACUUUAAAAUAUAUGGACAAAACGAGAGCUACAUAAGUUUAGCUCUUCAAAUUAAUAAAUCUGUCAUACUCAUCGAAAGUACUGUCAACUAGAGCUAUGAACAGGUAAUGUUUACUAGAGAAAAAUCGACUUUUCAUUACUUUGUUUUUAUAUGUUACUCUUAGUUUUACAGACCUUUCUUUAAUUUUGAUUUCACAUGUUGGAUAUUUCCUUGAUUUUAGUUUGCCUAGUUUUGGGAAAAUUUGUAGGACUGGUAGAUGAAACGUUACAUCAAAUUUUAGGUUGGUGAAGACUGAGAAUAUGAGAGAAGUUGGAACGUGUAGAUUUCCUGAUUUUCUCUUAGAUGACUUUUGGUGUAUCUAUAGGAUUUUCACUCAAUAUUUUUUCUCUUUUUGAGUGAGUUAUUUUCAUCCGACUGAUUUUGUCAUUCGCUAAUUACUAGUAGCUCCAAAAGCUUUCUCAGUUCUCUCUCUCUCUAUGGUACUUGCUAAGUACUACUUUUUUGAUUUCUCUCUCCCAGUACAUAAUUCUUAAAGGGGUGAAAGUGACACACCUAAAUUAUAACUCGUUAGUUUAAGAAACACACCUUAAAAUGAAUAAAUAUUAAUUAAAAAUAUAAAAAAUAAUGUGUUAGCAAAAAUAAAAAUACACCUUUUAAGUGUUUGUAAGCAAAUAUUUGUUCUAAUCCGCUUUUAGGUGUAUUUCUCAAACUAAUAAGUUAUAAUUUAGGUGUAUUUCUCAAACUAUAAGUUAUAAUUUAGGUGUGUUUCUCAAACUAAAAGUGAUAGUUUAGGUGUGUUUUUCCGACUUCCAUUAGUUUUCUUGUGAAACUAAAAAAAAAUGGAUAGUUUAGAUGUGUUUUUAAUACUUUACUCUUUUUAAAAUAAUAAACUAUUUUAUUGAAUCUGAACUAUGUUCCUCCAUAAUCACAUGUUUUAUUUGUUAGCUACUGACACUUCCUAGUUACUACUGAGCCCACUGAUAGAAGUCCUUUCAAUUCGAGACGAGCACAAAGUCUGGUUCAUUGUGACAGUCUGUGACUAGAUAUUUUGAGGAGAUUCCUAUUACUUUUAUCAGUUAGAAUAAUAUCAUCCAAUUCAGGGUUUUUGUUAUUGGAAUUGGUGAAUUCUUAAAGAUCCAUCCCGGCUAGACAUGAUAAUUUUUAAUCAUCCUGCUCGAGCAAGAAUUAAAAACAACAACAAAUGAAUUCAUAUAUCCAUAUAAAAUACAUUUACAUAUAUGAGUAAUCACUUCAGUGACUUUUUCUUAUAUGGUGGAGAAUGAAGGGUGGUACUUUUUCUUAUAUGGUGGAGAAUGAAGGGUGGUAAUACUAACUUCUGUAACACGUUGUCUCUCCACGUAUCAUGUCUAGAUCUUCAAUGUGUUGUGCAGCUAUUAUCCAUUGGUUACAGCUGGAAUAAGUUUCUUCAUUUUGUUGGAGUAAGUUUGUAUGUAGCUCCUGGUGUGACUUGAUUAAUGUAUGCUCAUAUUUACAGAAGAAAAGCUGGAAGAACAUAUUUGCGUAUAUUGGUCCUGGUUUCCUUGUUUCUAUUGCCUAUAUCGAUCCUGGAAAUUGUAAGUCUUGGUAACAAAUUUGGAGUUUCUAAUCACAUUUGCUUCUAUAUGUAACUGUUUUGUUUUGUGCACAAUGUGUCUUGCAGUUCAAACUGAUUUACAAGCCGGAGCUCAGUACAAAUAUGGGGUGCGCCUCUGCUUUGAUCUGUUCUUCUUAAUCUAUUGUGCAUGUCCAGAGUAAAUUUUUAGGGGAAAAUUAAUUCAUCCAGAAAUUAUUUCUGCAUCUAUCAACAAAAAGAAUAUAUUGUUCUGCAAAUAAAUAUUUUCUGAGAGUUCUAAUAUCUUUAAUAGAACUGUAAUGUAUUUGGCUGGUGGUCUUUUGUUUAACUUGGAUAUAGUCUCACCAAGUUUCUUCCAGAUUCAUAAUGAAUAACAUGAAAGAGCUUGCUUAUUCAAAAAAGUGACUUUCUGACUCUUUUUUAUGUGAAUUGUCUAAGGAGUCUGUUAGGUCUGUUUCUUAUCUAUUCACUCUUUUUUUUCUGCUGAUUGGCAUCUAUUAUUAUCUAAAAAAGCUUGUACAUGCUCCACAGUUGCUUUGGAUAAUAUUACUGGCGUCCUUUGCAGCUCUUGUGAUCCAAUCCCUGGCAGCAAAUCUUGGGGUUGUUACAGGUUCAUGAUGUUUGAUUAUUUCAUUUUCUUAUCAAUCUACAAUGCAUUGGAGAUGAUAUCGAUGUACUCCUGUCUCCAUGUCAGGAAAGCAUCUUGCGGAGCAUUGCAGAAAGGAGUACGCAAAGGUGCCAAACUUCAUCUUAUGGGUCAUAGCUGAAAUCGCUAUUGUGGCGUGUGACAUUCCUGAAGGUAAGUGUUCGCAAAUCAACAUAGUGAAAACUUCAAAUCUUUCUUGAUACAAUCUCAUAAGAGACUUCUAUCUUUUCUUAGCAAGCUUAUUAGUAAAUGAGGUUUAAUAUAGUCCUGUCGGCUUCUCCUCGGUUUCUAACAAUUUUGCUCAUCUCUAAUUAUGCAGCAUGCAUUAGAAAAUGUGUAAUUAGAAUAUGCGAACUUAAUUUUUUUAAAGAAAAGAACAACACAUCUCUCAUGUUGUAAUUAUUUAAGCUCAUUCAAGUCACAAAGGGCCAAUAACUUUAGUUUAAGUAUUUAUCUGUUGUGUCAAUGCCCAGUCCAACUUAAAGAAAUAAAAUAUGACCAGAACGAUAUGAAGUCACGACGACCCUUUGUUGGUCAACCCUCUUCGAUGUGACCUGUUUUAUUAAUUCCACCUUAGUUUAUAUCAAUUUUGUAUGGUCGUCAUUACAAUUAUGUGGGUGGUUGUAUGAGAAAAGAGUGGUUUCUGGACUCCUGUUAUCUUCAGGGUCAAUAUGAGCAUACGUUCAAGGAAAUCGAAAACUCCUCUCUCUUGCAAAAGUAUUUAUUUAAAAAUGUUCUAGCAGCUUAUGUGAACGGUGCCAAUCCAACAUAAAGAAAUAAACUGUUACAAAUUUAUUGGGAGUCAUCAUGUCCAUUUGUCGGGUAAUCUCUCUUUGCAGUUCCCUUUUAUUUUACUUUGCACGUUAUAUUCGACAUCCUCUAUUCUAUUGUAGCUGAAAAGGUAGCUUUAUGCACUGCCCAUGUGAUAAACAUUUUGACAGAAAAAAGUUGGAUGAAAAACUAUUUUCAUCUGCUAUAGCAAUGGCAGAAAUAACUUGCAAUGCAUACACUGAUUCUUGACUAUUUGUGCUGCAAAAUUGGCGGUAUAUUAUCAAAAAUUUGAAAGGAUCGAAUAGCUUAGUUUUUUUGUGUUGAAGUUUACGUCUGUUGAAUUGUUUCUUAAUUCCAGUGUUCUUUCAAUUGUGCAGUUAUUGGGACAGCAUUUGCUUUAAACAUGCUCUUCAAAAUACCAGUAUGGUGUGGUGUGCUAAUCACAGGGCUGAGUACCUUGACUCUACUUCUGUUGCAACAAUAUGGGGUAUGUUUAUAUAAUUCCCUUUAAAAACCUAUGCUCGAGAUGUCAUGCAUGAACAAAAUUAAAUUGGUUAUGAAAUGGUCAAUAUUCACUGGAUCGAGGAACCUAUUUAAAUUUGUACUUGUUAAAAAGCAUAAAACCCCUCAGAGAUAUGUUGUUCAUCAUUUUUACCCUUUAAAAUCAAAUUUCACAUUGGACAGAAUUGUUAUUUAAUCUUUUAUUUUAAAAUAUUAAAGACUUUUAAGUCAGCUAAAAUUAAAGAUCAUCCGGUGCACAAAGCUGGGCUAUGCGUGGGAGCUGGAUAGGAAAUCAUAAUAUUUAGAGUUUUAGAUCUUGUUUAACGCCUUACUAUUAAAGUAGAAUUAUAGGUUCUUUUAUUAGUCAAAAUUGUUAGAAAUUAAGAACUCAGAUGUGCACUACUUUUGUUUUGUCAGAUUUGCACAGCUAAAAAAUAGGUUUGCACAAGUUAUAGCUCAAAUAUCUCUGUGUUUAUCCUUCUCUCUCUUAUCUAGCUGACAAUUAAGUGUACUAACAUUACAGGUUCGGAAACUUGAAUUCUUUAUUGCAUUCCUUGUACUUACCAUAGCUAUAUGCUUCUUUGUGGAGCUUGGAUAUGCAAAACCCGACCCCUCAGAAGUUCUUCAGGGGCUUUUCGUUCCUCAACUCAAAGGGAGUGGUGCUACUAAGCUUGCUAUUUCCCUUCUUGGUGCUAUGGUUAUGCCGUAAGUGUAUAUGGAUGUUCGCUAUAGUAUUUUUUUGGAUAAAUCAUUCUACUAUUGUCAUGCUGAUAAUUUUCACUUUUUGCAGCCACAAUCUUUUCCUCCAUUCAGCCCUGGUGCUUUCCCGAAAAAUUCCUCGAUCUGUGAACGGCAUCAAAGUAUGUUUAGUAAUGGAAAUCCUCCUCAUAUUUUCGAGUAAUGAAAAACCUCCUCACGAAUGCUCAUCAACCUAAGAAAAGAAAACAAGGAGAAAAUUUGACUUUCGUUGUUGAUGCUAGUUGCGAAUCAAGUAGCAUGGGUCUAUGGUUGAUGCUUAGAGGUCAUACUAUGAUAAUAUAAACUCAUGGUUUCAUUUUGUCUGGAAUGUGUUGGUACCCAAAUUUUUUUCAAUAAUUUAUUAGUUCACUCAUUGUAUGGCUAGGCAAGUUGAUCCUCGAGUAAGGUGGACCUGUAAUAAGUUUUGUUUACGUAAGUGCUCGAGUUAAAAGAUAGAUCAUUUCUUGUUCUAUUUUUUUCUUUAUUUUCCUGUAAAAUUUGAGAAAGACUUACCUGUCUCAUUGGAACACCCUAAGCUUUUUUGGCCUCCUACUCUUUCUUUUUUUUUUUUUUUAAAAAUAAAUCUGUACAGGAUUAUGUUACAGGUGUGCUAGUUUGACCAAAUUAGUGAAAUAAAUAAUUUACAGGAGGCGUGCAGAUACUACCUGAUCGAAAGUGGCCUGGCUUUGAUGGUGGCAUUUCUUAUUAACAUAUCAGUUAUCUCAGUAAGUGGUGCUGUCUGCAAUUCCCCUUCUAUGAGCCCAGAUGAUCGGGAUAAGUGUGAGGACUUAGACUUGAACAAAGCAUCUUUUUUACUCAAAGUAGGUGAUACCACACUGCAAUGUCAUUGCUAUUCAAUUACACAGAACUAUGCUUUUUCAUCCAUUUUAUAAUGUUUUUUAAGUCUUAAUGACACUGCUCUUUUUAUGUUACUACUUACAGAAUGUUUUAGGCAACUGGAGUUCCAAGCUAUUUGCAAUUGCUUUACUAGCAUCAGGGCAGAGUUCGACAAUAACUGGGACGUACGCCGGGCAAUAUGUUAUGCAGGUAUCAAAUGCUAUUUCAUUUUGUCUAAUCAUUUCUCAUCUUCUUUUUGACAUUUAAAAAGCAUACAUGACUAUCUGCAUUCAACUUUGUUAAGAUCGAAGACAAAAGCAUUUGAGAUCAUUUUAUAGAGAGACCAAUUUCUUAAGUUACCAAAAAACUUGAGAAAUUUCUCAGUCCAGGCUGUACUUUUUACUGCAUCCUAAAACUAGGGGCGGAUUAGGUUCUAUAAUAUAUAACUGUUAGAUAAAAUCGAAUUAGUAAUCUUCUUUGAUAGUCUGUGUAGGUUUAUCCAAAGCUGGUGGAUCUUCAUGAUUAGUUUAGGUUAAAUGUAAAAACAAGACUCUUCCUUUAUCUGGUGCAAGAGAGACAAAAUGAAUGUUAAAAAUGUCAUGAUAUCAACGAUCAGUUGUGUUUGAACUCUGGUAGUAGAAGUUAAACUAUUCAAAGUUGUGCAACUAAUAUUUGUUUCUUUAAUUUACAUGUCCUAUUCUAUUGUUUUUGUAGGGUUUUCUUGAUUUACGACUGAAGCCGUGGAUUAGGAACUUCUUAACUCGAUGCUUAGCCAUAGUUCCAAGUUUAGUGGUUUCACUAAUUGGAGGCUCUGGUGGGGCUGGUGACCUGAUCAUUAUUGCUUCGGUAAAGUAUCUGUAAAAAGCUGAAUUUCUCCUUAUUACUAGUAUUAAGCCGGGGAUCUAUUAGAAACAACCUCCCUACCCCACAAAGGUAGUGGUAAGGUCUGUAUACAUCUUACCCUCCCCAGACCCCACUCGUGGGACUACGCUGGAUAUGUUGUUAUUGUUUAACAAAUCCAGAUUCUUGGUUUGUAUCUUUGUGUGUGCUCUAAUAAUACAGACAUGUUACAUAACUGAGGUUUCAGUUGUAACAUUGUUGGCAAAGUUUUCAUGAUGAGUUCUAAUUCUAAAUUGUUAUUAUUAAGCCAAAUAUCUUAUCUGUAUUCUGCAGAUGAUCUUAUCUUUUGAGCUCCCCUUUGCUCUGAUUCCGUUGCUCAAAUUCACAAGCAGUAAGACCAAGAUGGGUUCACAUGCAAAUCCAGUUGCGGUGAGAAAUCAUCCAGAUGCACUUAUUUACUUUCUGCACACUGUUGUAGAACCAAUAACAAAUUACAAGAGUUACAUGUGUAAAAAUACCGAUGAAAAGGACGUAGCUUAAUGGAUUACAACCAACUCCAAGAGUGUUGUAAGGGUGCCUGAUUUUACAGCAUCAAGGUUGGGUCAACUGUAGCAGAUCCUUAGUCUCUAUUAGUACAGAACCCUUGCUCUCUUCAUACAAAAUCUGCAAAUAUGAUUGACAAAAAUACAAAAAAUUUAGAUUCAUUUUAUCAGAAAUUGCAUAGCAUCAAUCUAAUAAAACACAUUGGGUAAUGAUUAAGGAGUUUGGGAGUUUGAAAAUCUAUUAUGUGUAUAUUCCAUAUAUGGCCUUGGCCAAAUAGUCUCUCUGCUUCUUGGUUUGUUUUCAUAUCUCUGAGUAGUGGCAAUGCUGUCCAGCUUUUGCUCCACAUGGACUGAAAAUUUUUUGCGCUUCAAACUUUUUACAGGUUUCAGCAGCCACAUGGGUUAUUGGAACACUAAUCAUGGGGAUAAAUAUAUAUUAUUUAGCAGAAAAGUUGGUUACUUCUCUCAGGGAUAGCAAUUUAGGGAAGGCAGCUAAAGUUCUUUGUGGAAUAUUAGGCGGCUCGUGUUUGUUAGUCUAUCUGAGCAGUAUCUUAUACUUGGCCAUCCGGAAAAAUAAGGAAGGCACUCAUCUUCUGGCGCUUACAGGGCAAGAAGGUUUACAGGUUUCUGAUAUAAACAAUCUACCCCGAGAGGACAUUUUGCGUAUGCAGUUGCCUCAGCAGAGGACCACUAAUUGACAUGUUCAAUGAAGGGUUAAAAGUAGCUGAUGAUGUAUACAAUGCAGUUAGAACUUGUUUCGUCUUAACCUGUUUUCAUAGGCAUUUAUUGCCAAUGAUCCAGAGUUGUAAUGUUAGAAUUAGUUUGAAGUGAGAAGAGUUCCUUAUAGACUUAUGUAUAGAGAGAACUGCUGCUGAUGCCUCCUGAUAGGCCAAUGAUGAAAAUCAAAUGACCUCUGUUAUCCAAGUUUCCUUGCUCUUGAGUUUCAUCUGUAUUUCCUUGAUCCUGAAUUUAUCUUGGUUUAAUUUCGGAGUUAAUUACUCAAACGGUCAACUUUUAUUCCAGAAAGUUACUAAACUUUGGACUUUACUCCAAUAGUCACUCAACUAUGAGCUUUUAUCCUACAAAGUCACUCAAUUUUAAUCUUUAUUUCAAAAGUCACUUAACUAUCACAUUUUUACUCAGGAAAUCACUCAACUUAUUUAAUAAUUUUUUAAAAACAAAAUUUGUUUAUGUGAAAUUUCUAUUUAAAAAUAAAUUUUUUAAAAAUAAAAAAUAUUUCUUUAAUGACCAUUUUAUCCAUAUUUCCUUAAUUUAAUAUCUUUACCUCCUCUUUCUCAUUUUUCUUCUUCUUUUCACUUCUUCCCAUAGAUUUUUGGAUCAAUCACACAACCUAAAAAUUGACAAUUAAAAUUGCAAGAAAUCGACGUACUACCGUAUUUUUAUAUUUAUAUUUUAUUUUUAUUUGUUUGUAAAAAGGAAAAAAAAAGGAAAAAACAAUAAAGAGGAACAAACGAAGAGAAAAUAAAAUAAACUAAAAUAUCCUGCACUUCCCUUUUUCUCCUUUUUAAGUACUUUAUACAUUUAUUUUAUUUCUCUUCUUUUGCCCUCUUUAUUUUUUUUUUCUUUUUUAGGAACAAAAUAAGAAUAAAAUACAAAUAUAAAAUAUGAUAGUAAUUCGAUUUCGUACAAUUUUAAUGUCAAUUCCUAGAUUAUAAUGUGUGAUAAUGAAAAAAAUUAUGGGAAGAAAGUGAAAAGAAGAAGAAAAAUGAGAAAGGGGUGGGAGAAAUAUUAAUUUAGGAAAAUAUAGAUAAAAUGAUCAUUAAAGGUGUUGACACGUGAUUUUUGAUCCUCUCUAAAUUUUAACUUGUUUAUCGAUAUUAAAUAUAUUAUAUUUUUAUAUUUAAUCACACAUUAUUUUGGUUUUUGUUUUUAUUUUUAUUCUAAUUUUAAAUAAUAUAAAAAUUAAAAAUAUAUGUUUUCUUUUAUAAAUUUUAAUAAAUAAAUUAAUAGUUUUAAUAUUAUUUUAUUAUAUUUGUUUUUAUCCAUUUAUAAAUUCUUAUUUUGUUUUGUUAAAUAUAAAAUUAAUUAAUUGUUAUAUUUAUUAUUAUUAUUUAUUUAUUUUAUUUAUUUAUCUUAUUUAUUUAUUACUAUUAUUAUUUCUAUCUAUUAUUGUUAUUAUUUUAUUUUCUUCUAUUAAAAAAAAUUGAAUUUUAAAUUCUCCUUUAUAUUAUCUUGUAAAUAACUAUUCCCUCUUUUGUUUUCCCCCCAAAACUCUGCUACUUAAAGAGCGGGACUACAUAUGAUUAUUUGGGGAUACUGUACACUGACUCAGAUAAAAAGGGUACUUUUCUCUAUCAGAAAUCAGAAAAAAGAUAUCCAUAAACCAGUAAAAAAUUUAGUAAAAGAAACCGUCAGAUAAACAAAAGAGAGAAAAGGUGUGGAGUUGAAAUUUAGUAUUUCGUUGGAGUUCCGGUGACGAUUGAUUGCUUUACCAACAGGUUCUUAUUUGAAUUUAUGAUUUCUCAUAGUAAAUCAAAACAUGUUCAAGUUUGUGUUUAUGAUCUCAUUGUUUGACAUGUGAUAUUAUUUGUUUAUUGUAUUGAAUUAAGGAAAAAUAAAUAUAGCAAUAUACACUGAUAUAUACAUAUGCUUACUGACCAAACAGCCACAUUAAGUAGUAUUACAAUGCACAGUAAAAAAUAAUAAUAAAGAAAUUGAGAAUUAAAAAAGGCGGAGAGAAAGAGAAUAACAAUGGCUUCAUAAAAGUCGUGAACAACCAGAGAAAAAAUGAGAAAUGCAGUAAAAUCAGUGGAUUCGGGCAAGAGUUCGCCGAAAAUCGAGCAACUCCGGUCUCAAAUGACCAGAGUGUUCCUUUUGCCAGUUAGACGUCACGUCGGAGAAACCAGUGAAACUCCAUGGCUACUGUCCUAUCUCAAAAUCUCGUCUAAAAACACCACCAAAUUGACCAUACUCGUUGGAUCUCUUGCCGGAAAGCGGUAAACUGCCGCCGGCGCUCUUCUGCAGCCCAUCAUUGCCAAAAUUCCGGCAUCUAUUCCCCAUCGCUGCUCAUCGUAAAACCCCUCCGUUCUCUUCCCUCUUCCCGCCGUCCCUCUCCCCUUACUCGUCGUCCCUCUCCCCUCUUCCCUUUUCCUGUCAACCUACGCGACACCAGCCAUUACUGUGGAUCAACCAGUAAUAUCUCCGGUCACUGCCGCAACACAGGUGAGUCAUAUCUGACCGGAGUUGCCUCGUCCUCCAAGCACCUUUUGAAAUGGCUGAUAUUUGUUAUAGGUUGUUUACUUAUGUUUUUCUCUCACGUUUUAAUAUGGCAAAGAAUAUACAAAAUUGUUAAGUACUAAAUCUAUAUUCGCUAAAGUAGGAAACGUGUUUUUUUUUUUAACUUUAAUUAUUGUUGAUUAAGGUUUUUAAUGUUCUUUUCUUUUAAAUUAUUUUUUUAAUUAUUAUUAUUAUUAUUAUUAUAUAUGGUUUACCACGUAUUAUUAAUCAUAAAAAUAAUAACAAAGAAGUAAGUAUUUUUGACUAAUUUUUCAUUAUAAUAAUAUUUGUUAACUAUUUAUUUGAUAUAUAUAUAUAUAUAUAUAUAUAUAUAUAUAUAUAUAUAUAUAUAUAUAUAUAUAUAAUAUAUAUAUAAAAUACAUAUAUAUUUCAUUCAUGUUUGUUGUCAUCGAGGUUCGAAAAAUAAAAAUUGUUACGAAUUUAUGAGUGGUGAAUCAACGUCUUUAGUGUUAGGUAAAUUUUUAGACACGUUUAAAUUUUUUGUCUCAAUAAAGAAUGCAGCAUACGCAUCUUUUCGAGACAUUUUAAAAUAUAAGGAUGUAAAAAAAAAUACACCUUAGUAAAUAUUUUACUAAAAUUAACUUGAUAAAUAUUUUUCAACUUUCAUCGAUUUAUUUAAUAUGAAAUAAUAUACGAGAGUUUUUAGACAAAAUUUUUAGAUAUUAAAAAUGAGCGAUUUAGGCCUUAACAUAAUUUAUUAAAAGUAAUUUAAGACAAGAUAAAUCAAUAAAAGCGACCGUGUUAGAACCACGGGACUCGAGGGGUGUCUCACACCUUUCCUUCGGUCAACAGAAUUCCUUACCCGGUCUUCUGUUUUUGCAGACCAACAAAGAGUCAUUUCCUUUUGAUUAGGGAUUCAAAAAGGUGACUUGGAACACCAAAACUCAAUUCCAAGUGGCGACUCUGUAAAUAAAUUAAUUCCUAUUUAAAACUGCCACUUUAAUUAAAAAAACCCUUCGAACUCAAUCCUUCGAGCUAAAAAAGGGUGUGACAUCUCUGGCGACUCUGCUGGGGAAAAACUAGAAUUCGAGCUUUGGAUAUUGGCUUUUACUUGCUUUAAUUAUUUUGAUAUUGUGUUUGUUGGCCUUAUGUACUACUUGUUGCUCAUUUACCGCUGAUAUUAUUUGAACUGUAUUAUAUAUUGUCUUCUUUCGCGUACCCCUUUGAGUCUCUAAAAUAGGAUAGCGGGAAUGCAACAUAUGCAUCCCACUUUCUUUUUGAGAUAGCCGGAGUGUCAAGGCACCUGGUGAAGGAUAUAGUCACACAUGUUAGGCGGGGUUCGGAUUGACAACGAAGGCGGUGUUGCCCUGCUACCGACCAAGUUGUCCCUCCCCGGCUUGAGUGUCCGCUCGGGUAAGCCAGUCUAGACACCUAUCAUUAUUAGGUUUUAACUUAGAAGAACUGAAAACUCAGAAUCUGAUUAUCCCUAUUAAGUGCCGCUUUAUUUGCAUCAUAUGCAUUUGACUUAGCAGGACUCGGCACAAGGGCCGGGUCUGUCUAGGAUAGGUGACUUAAUUUAUAAAGACCAACAUGUGUAUCCUACAUGCUCUUUGACAUUUGCUUGGAAAGCUAUUUAUUUGUUGACCGGCUUUAGGCAAUUAUGAAAUGCGAGAGAUUAAUUUAUCCUCAAAUUUAGUUAAAUCAUUUUUGAAAGAAAAAUUUGAUUUUUAAAUAAGGAAAAUUUUUAAAUAUACAGCAACAUAGUUUUUACAAUCUUCAUGAACUACGAGAGUCUGAUUCUCACUUUUUAGUGAGAUAUGUAGGAAGUCUUACCCAGGAUACGAUCAUUUAUUUAAAAUAAUAAUAAUAAUAUAUUUAUUCACAAAUUUAUUGAAGGAUAUUUUUGAAAAAUAAUAAUAAGAAGAAAAAUGAUUAUUUUGAUGAAUAUUAUUAUCUUUAUUUUACUUUUCUUUUUAUUUUUUAAAAAUUAAUCUUAACAUAAAAAUCAUAAUAGCCUGAACCUUUAGAGGUCGUGAGCUGAAUUUUUGUAAAGUAAUAAAAUAUGUAAACAUAUGUUUUAACAGUCCUGAACCUUUAGGGGUCGUGAGACUAAAAUUUUUAUAGAACUUCAUACAUAAAACAUUCUAUUUCUGAGUCAUUUUUUGUUCUCUUAAGGGUAUUUAGGCGGUAUUGUCUCCAAAUAUAUAGUUAAAAUUAUCUAGAGGUCUGUUAUUGCAAUUUUUUUUAUAAGAGUCAAACUUAAAUAAAUAUUUUUUCUAAAUAUAUUAUCAGUCAUAGUUCUCAAGUCAAGUUAAAAAAUUCUUUUAAAAAAUCAAUGAAUUAAUUUCAGCCUAAAUCUAGACAUUUAUUAAUUUCAUGUCCUUGUCAAUAGGUAUAAAAUGUCUCCCCAUGUUCGUGGAAAGCGUCCAAAGAGAAAGAGAGAUGGGAGUGUACCGCUUCAGGUUAUGGAUUUACCCCUUUGCAGCUUUGGUUGUGGUGGAACGAAAUGGAUACAUUCGAUUAUGAUGAGAUACAUAAGUAUUUGGUUUUUUUGACGAGUAUUAUGACAAUAAAACCUAAUAGGGAGGUGAUUGAUGUGUUACUAACCUUCUGGGCCUCAAAGAACAAUGUGUUUCGUUUUUUGGAUUUUGAGUUGACUCCUACUGUAAAGGAGAUAGCGGCCUAUGUUGGAUAUGAGGAUAUACAUUGAAAGAAACUUAUAGCCCCGAGACUCAUUUCGAUAAACAAAUUUUGCAAACUCAUGAACAUAAGGAAUUCAAAAGAAGAAUCGAUGAAAAAAGGUUGGGUUUCCUUGCAUUUUUUGUACGAUAGAUACGGAAGACAAGAGGGGUUCAAAAAGUACGGUAAGCAGCUCUGUAAUAAGGGGAAUUUUGAGGCCUGGAAGGUUCACAGACGAUUUACAUUCAUGGUAGCUUUUUUAGGCACUAUGAUUUUCCCAAGGAGAGAACAAAAAAUUAACAUUCGUUUAGCAGGAGUGGUAAAGAUACUGAUUAAGAAAGAUUACACUAUGGUGCCAAUGAUCCUGGCAGAUAUCUACUGUGCUUUGACUGUUUGUCAGAAAUGAAAGAGUUUUUUUGUGGGAUGUAAUAUCUUGUUACAGAUUUGGAUUAUGGAGCAUCUCUACCGACGUCCUACAAUGGCAAGAUUUAAUCCGUAAAGAUUCAAUUGCAUCAAAGAUUACAAAGAGAGGUUAGAGAAAUAUAAAUGGCCAGAAGGAGUUAGAGAUUGGGAUAAGCUUUUUCGUUCUCUGACAGCAGAUAAAAUCACUUAGAAUCUCCCUUGGUUCCCUUGGAGGCAAGUCAUACACAGUUCUGCCAUUCGGCCGUUGUUAUUAUUAAUGGGUAUUAGGGGUGUUCAACCGUAUGUUCCAUUGAGAGUUUUACGUCAACUAGGAAGACGUCAAAUAAUUGUGAUUACGAAAAAUAUGACCGAGUUUGUAUUUGAGGUCAGACCAGAGAUCCCACUUCCAGAGAAAUUGGCCCAUCAGAUUUGGGAGGGUUGCCGUAUUAUGGGGAUUGAAACGAUGGUCAUAGAGCGUGAGAAAGGAGAAGUGCACCCAGAUUAUAGUGAAUGGUUUGAAGAAUAAUUGAGUCCGCCAGUCAGACCAGAAAGAUCGGUUAGGGGACCUAUAGAUCAGGAAGCUGCAAUCAGGAUAGGAAUUGAGAGAGCCAUGCGAGAACAUCAUGAGGCCAACCAAGCUUUGAGAGCAGAAUUAGAGCAUGCCAGGGCAAAAUUAGACGAACAACAAAGGGAAUUUGCUGAAGAGAAAGCUAAAUCAAUAGCUAUUGAGGUUGCACUUCGGGGACAAAUCAAACUGGCUACCGCCAGGGGGUCACACGUUACAGAACUUGCCGCAUCUCGCCGACAGCAACUGCAAGAAUUUGAAAAUAAUAUGCAAGAAUUAUUUGAUCGAGAGAGAUCUCAAUGGAUCCGUGAAAAAGGAUUAUUGCGAGAACAGUUGGAGGUUGCUUUUAUUCGUGAACAACGUGCAAAAGAGAUGGUUGAUUUUCGAGAUUGACAGGCCCAUGAAUAGGAUCAGGCCUUCAGUUUCCUUCGAGGGAAGGUCCAUCGUGUAGUACAGGAUACUGCCAGAAUGGGUUUGGAUUAUCAGCAAUUGGAUCGUGAAGACUUUUUGUCUCAAGUUCCAACUUUUGCACAAUGUGUCACUAGUUCAUUGGAGGACAUAUAUUUGAGUUUGGGAGGACAUAUUAAGCCGAAGUCUCCUUGAAUAGAUAGUUUUUUUUUUAAUCAUAAUUUUUCCUUUUCAGUUUUUAAACUUCUUGUUUAGAUGUUAUGUUUUCUGGUUUUAUUUGUCAAAUGUCAGUUGGUAGAUUUUAUCUUAGGAGUUGGGUCAGUUAUGUUGUCGUAUUUAUAUUAUGUAAUGUAAUGAAGCUGACUAUUUAUUUUCAUAUAUAUUACAUAUUUUGCUUUACUUACUUUAUUUAUUUUCUUUAAUAAAAAAUAGUAACAAAAGGAGACAAAACAAUCAUUUUGUUAAAUUUUUUUCGAACUACGCAAGAUCUGAUUCAUGUCCUGGCAUGAUACGUACGCAACCUUCCAAAGGGUUCGAUCAUAAAUUUGGAAAAAAUAUGCCUAGAAAAGCCGAGAUGAAACACAAAGCCUUCCAUGAUAGGUUGGAAAAUGCAUAUAGAAGCAUGACAUAUAACUUGGCAUUAUAAUGUGUUAAAAUAUAACAUUCACCCAUUUGCUACUUGGUAACAAAAAGAUAAAGUAAUUGAUGAUUGGUUUGUGGUUUAAACUGGCAUCACAUCCGUAUAAUACAAGAUACAAAGGUAAAAGAAAAAUGACCCCCAGAGAAGGUAUAGGGUCUGACAGUGAAGAAGAGCAGAAUCAGUUGAUUUCGCAGGAAAUAACAUCAAUGGAAGAAAUAAAGUCAUUGAAACAACAGAUGGAGGAGAUGUACCAAUCUUGGUUGAAUGGACAAGCCCCGCCUUCUUCAAUCCCUGGACUUUCAACUUCAAAUGAUCCAAAUUCUGAACCAUCUCAAACUAGUGAUCCAUUUUACCCACCAAGAUUUGGCCCAUUUGCUAAUAUGUCUGUAGUUGCUGGUACUUCUACCAUGCACCCACCGAAUCCGUCUAUCGUAAAUAACCCACUUUUUACUUUCGUAGCACCAGCUACCGCGGGUACUCAACCGACAGUACCGAAGAAUAUGGGGAAACCAAGUCAUGAUAUGUUGUAUCCUCCUGAAAUAACUUUCAAAUCUCAAAAUUCACAUUAUCAUGUUCAUCAAUGUGAUACUCCUAUCUUGAUUGAGAAGAUUGCCAAGAAUUAGGAAUAAGAGAACAUGGCUAGAAAAGUUAGAAGCUUGGAGCAGAGUAUGAGAAAUAUGCAAGGAUUAGGGGGACCAAAAAGUGUUUCAUACAAGGAUUUGUGUAUGUUUCCUGAUGUCCAUUUGCCGAUAGGGUUCAAAAUACCAAAGUUUGAUAAAUAUGAAGGUCAUGAAGAUCCUGUGGCUCACUUGAAGAAGUUCUGUAAUCAAUUAAGGGGCGCAGGAGGAAAAGAGGAAUUAUUGAUGGCUUACUUUGGAGAAAGCCUAGUAGGAAUAGCUUCUGAAUGGAUCAUUGAUCAAGACAUUUCCCGUUGGCACGUAUAGGAUGAUAUGGCUUGAGAUUUCAUUCAAGAAUUUUAAUAUAACAUUGAGAUAGUGCCAGAUCGCACUACGCUUGCUAACAUGAGAAAAAAGAUGACCAAAAGUUUUCGAGAAUAUGCCGUCAGAUGCAGAGCAAGCUUCAAGAGUCAAAUCAUCGAUAAAAGAAUCUGAAAUGAUUGAUAUUUUUCUGCAAGCACAAGAACCUAAUUAUUUCCAUCAUUUGCUUUCUACUAUCGGAAGCACAUUUGCCGAAGUUUUCAAAGUUGGAGAGAUGAUAGAGAAUAGAAUCAAGUCAGGAAAGAUUAUUAGGCAGGCUACUUUAAAAGCAACAACGCAGGCAAUUCAAAGUUGUGCAGGAAGUUUCAGGGGAAAGAAAAGGAAAGAGGAUGUAGCAACUGUCGUGCCAGGUUCACGACAAAAUUGGAGAGGUGUGAGUCAACCAUACGCAUAAAAUUCAUUAUGUUUCAUUCCAUCCCCUCAAUAUCCCACUUACAAUGCACAAUCAUAUGUUUGGGCUCCUUCUUACCCGCAAUGGCGUGCACCAACCAUAAAAAAUCAUCCACCGAUACCAUAAGGGAUAAUAUGGUCAAAGAUAAUUUCACUCCUAUUGGAAUAUCUUACACCAGUUUAUUUCAUAGGUUGAGGAAAAUGAAUGUACUUAACCCAAUUGAGAGAAGGAUCCCAAAUCCUUCUCCGAAGAAUAUGGAUUAUUCUAAAAGGUGUGAAUACUGUUUUGAUGCCCCAGGGUAUGACACAAAAAAUAUUGGUAUCUGAAAAGAGUCAUUCAAGAGCUGAUUAACACCCAACAGAUCAUGGUAGAAAGUCCAGACGCUCCAAAUGUCAAUCAAAAUCCACUGCCAGAUCAUAAUGAAACAAACAUGCUCGAAGUGAUACCUAAUGAUGAAGAUGCUGUAAUAUCCUUCAAGCCGAUCAUUAAAACUAAAACUGAUUCGAAAGAAUCAGCAAAUACUGUACAUUUGACGAAAGAAAAGCUUGCAAAAGUAGAGGUGGUGAUAACAAAACCCGAAUCAUCGAAUGUUCCCUUGGUGGUGGAGAAAUAUAUUUCAGAAAAUAUUGGGUCAAGUCAAGUAAUACCAAAGCUUAUUGUUCCCAGAAGAUCCAAUAAGCCUUUUUUAAUCAUAAAAGGAGCUCCCAUAGCUCCUAUUAUUAUUAAACUAGUGUCAUAGCUGUCUAUGGUUGAUACCAAGGCUGUCCCUUGAAAUUAUGAUCGCGUUGUGGUGAUGUACAGGGAGAAAGAAGUGAUUGAAGAUGUAGAUGAAGUAGGGGGAUUAACUCGAUCUUGAAGAUGUUAUGCUCCCAGUAGAUUUAAGAAAGAAUAAACAAGGCGGUGAAGAAUGAAUGACAGUCAAGAAGCCUGUCACUGAUGAAGAAGCUGAAGAAUUCUUAAAGAAAAUGAAAUUACCAGAACAUUCUGUUGUAAAAUAGCUGAAGAGAAAAUUUCUUUGUUGUCUUUAGUGAUACAUUCAGAGGAACAUCGUAAGUCUAUAAUAAAGAUUUUUAAUGAAGCAUGUGUUCCCAGUGAGAUUAGAGUGAAUCAGUUGGAAAAAGUAUUUGGAAGGAUCCUUGAAGCAAAUAAAAUUACUUUCUCAGAUGAUGAAUUGCCUAUGGAAGGUACUGAGCAUAACAAAGGUCAGUACAUUUUUGUGAAAUGUGAACAUUCCAUCGUCACUCGAGUGUUAAUUGAUGGAGGAUCAGGCGCUAACAUUUGUCCUAUGUCAACUUUUCAAAAGUUGAAGGUUAAUGUGGAAAGGAUCCGACCUAAUAAUGUAUGUGUCCAAGGUUUUGACGGAUCAAAAACUGAUGCCAUUGGUGAAAUAGAAUUCAUAUUGACAAUUGGACCUGUGGAGUUUGCUAUGGAUUUUCAAGUGCUGAACAUUGAAACUUCAUAUAAUAUGUUAUUGGAAAGGCCAUGGAUUCAUAGGGCUAAAGCAGCCGCAUCAACAUUACAUCAAAUAGUCAACUUUGAAUACGAUAGGCAAAAAAUAAUUGUUCAUGAUGAAAGAGAUUAUCCAUGUAUAAAGACUACUUCGUUUCCACCAUCGAAGAAGAUUCUGCAGAUAAUGUGUUAAUUCAUCAAGUUUCUGAGGUAGUGGCUGUUGAGCAUAUCCUCGAGGGGAAUCUCAUCGCAAGACCAUAAUUGUCCUCUGCAUCUGUUAUAAUAGUGAAUGAAAUGUUGAAGCAUGGUUUUGAACCAGGAAAAUGUUUAGGGAUGUUUUUGCAAGGCAUAUUUCAUCCGGUAAACCUCUAUGAGAACUUUGGUACUUUUGGUUUGGGAUACGAGCCUACUGCUGUAGAUAUAAAGAAGGCUAAAAAGCAUAAGAAAGAUUCAUGGUCACUUACCAAGUCGAUACUGUCACUUCACGAGUCUUUCAUCAAAUUUAGUGUUGUUGGAUCCUCCAAGUUACUUGCUGCAGAAUUAAUGAAUGAUGAUGAUACAGAGUUGAUUGGCCUUUUUCAGAAUAUGUUCAUUGAAGCUGAUAUGGUUGAAAUUGGGGAAGGUAUCAGUAAUGUAGAUGUGUAGUUUGUCGGCCCUGAUGUCCAGCUUAACAAUUGGGAGGCCACUUCUCUCCCUACUAUGAAGGAGUCUUGGUAGUUUUUUUGUUUUUCUUUCAAGUCUUAGUAGUUUGUUUGUCUCUCCUUCUGUAAUUUGAAUCGUUCUAGUAUUGUAAUUCAGAUCUUUAAUUGGUAUUUCAGGUUAAAACUCUUUCUAUUUAUGUUUUUAAUAAAGCGUAGUUUCCCUUCGUUUUAUUUUGAGUCUGAUUUUUAUUUAUUUAUUUUCUAUCAUACAGUUCUUUCUAUGCCGAUUCUAAUGAUAUGACAUGUAUGAAGAAUUAUCAAUCAGAUUUAAAAACCCAAUCUAAUUAUGAAAUAAUGAAUAAAGAAGUUGAAUACGAUGACAGAGAAGCAUUUGAGGAUAUAAGCAAAGAUUUCAAACAGUUUGAGAAUAAGACAAAUCCCAAUUUGGAAGAAACUGAGGCAAUCAAUUUAGGAGAUCAUGGAAAUAUUAGAGAGACUAAGAUAAGUGUACAUGUUCAACCACAACAUGUUCAACCACAACAAAAGAAAGCUAUAAUUGAAGCUUUGCAUGAGUAUAAAGACAUCUUUGCGUGGUCUUAUGAUGAUAUGCCUGGUUUGAGCACUGAUUUGGUAGUUCACAAGUUGCCAAUUGAUCCUGCUUUUCCUUUUGUUAAGAAAAAGCUAAGAAAGCUCAAAACUGACAUGAGUGUAAAAAUCAAAGAGGAAAUCAUGAAGCAACUUGAGGCUAAAGUCAUUCGAGUGGCCCAAUAUCCUACUUGGUUGGCAAAUAUUGUCCCUGUUUUAAAGAAGGACGACAAAGUUCGGAUGUGAGUUGAUUGCCGUGAUUUAAAUAAAGCAAGUCCAAAAGAUAGUUUUCCACUUCCCAAUAUUCAUAUUUUGUUAGACAAUUGUGCCAAACAUGAUCUUGCGUCUUUUGAGGAUUGUUAUGCGGGGUAUCACCAGAUCAUUAUGGAUCUAGAAGAUGCAGAAAAGGCAUCAUUUAUUAUGCCACGAGGGACAUAUUAUUAUCGAGUCAUGCCUUUUGGACUAAAAAAUGCUGGGGCAACUUACAUGAGGGCAAUGACCAUAAUGUUUCAUGACAUUAUGCACAAAGAGAUUGAAGUUUAUGUGGACGACGCGAUCAUUAAGUCGAGAGAGCAAUCUGAUCAUGUCAAAGAUUUGAGAAAAUUCUUUGAAAGGCUUCGGAGGUAUGAUCUCAAACUUAACCAAGCAAAAUGUGUAUUUGGAGUUCCAUCAGGAAAACUCUUGGGUUUUAUAGUCAGCCGACGUGUCAUUGAGUUAGAUUCUUAAAAAAUAAAAGCUAUUCAAGAUCUGCCUCUACCAAAAAAUAAAACAGAGGUGAUGAGCUUACUUGGAAGGUUGAAUUAUAUCAGUAGAUUCAUUGCUCAGCUUACAACAACCUAUGAGCCAAUAUUCAGGUUAUUGAAGAAGAAUGCUAAAGUUGAAUGGACUGAUGAAUGUCAAGAGGCAUUUGAUAGAAUUAAGAGGUACUUGUUGAAUCCGCCUAUUUUGAUUCCUCCAGAGCUAGGCAGACCCUUGAUAUUGUACAUGUCUGUGUUAGACAAUUCUUUUGGCUGUGUAUUGGGUCAACAUGAUGUCACGGGUAAAAAAGAACAAGCCAUCUACUACCUCAGCAAAAAGUUUACCACUAAUGAGGCUAAGUACACUCUUCUUGAGAAGUCGUGCUACGCCUUAACUUGGGUUGCACAAAAGAUGAAGCAUUGCUUGUCAUCUUAUACUACUUACGUCAUCUCUCAUAUGGAUCCUUUAAAAUACAUUUUUUAGAAGCCCAUGGCCACAGGAAGACUAGCAAAAUGGCAGAUGUUGUUCACAGGGUUUGAUAUUGUCUAUGUGAUGCAAACUGCAAUGAAAGCUCAAGCUUUAGUGGAUCAUUUGGCUGAAAAUCCUAUUGAUGAGGAGUAUGAGCCAUUGAAGACUUAUUUUUCAGAUGAAGAAGUUUUGUGUAUUGAUGAGAUUAUUUCUGAUAGUUGCUAUUGAGGCUGGAAUUUAUUCUUUGAUGGAGCUGCUAAUGUAAAAGGAGUAGGGAUAGGAGCAGUUCUUAUUUCUGAAUCAGGACAAUAUUAUCCUAUAACAGGCCAACUUUGAUUCUACUGUACCAAUAAUAUGGCGGAAUACGAAGCUUGCAUUCUGGGAUUGAGAUUAGCCAUUGACAUGGGGGUCCAAGAACUGUUUGUAUUAAGAGAUUCAGAUUUAUUAGUCCACUAAAUCCAAGGAGAUUGGGAGACUCGUGAUUCAAAACUCCUACCAUAUAGAGGUUAUUUGCAAGAUCUUUGUCAAAGAUUUGUAUUAGUGAAGUUCAAACACAUUCCCAGAGCUCAUAAUGAGAUUGUUGAUACUUUGGCGACCUUAUCUUUGAUGCUUCAACAUUCCAACAAAACUUAUAUUGACCUUUUGCAUAUACAGAUUCAUGAUCAACAUACAUAUUGCAAUGUGGUUGACGAAGAACUUGAUGGGGAGCCGUGGUUCUAUGAUAUCAAAGAAUAUAUUCAGACUGGGAAAUAUCCUGUACAUGCUGAUGGUAAUAAAAAAAGAACCAUUCGACGUUGGUCUAGUGGAUUUUUCUUAAGUGGAGGAAUCUUGUAUAAGAGGACUCCUGAUUUGGGACUUCUGAGGUGUGUAGAUGCUAAAGAAGCUUCAAAAAUCAUGACUGAAGUACAUUCUGGGAUUUGUGGACCACACAUGAGUGGGUAUACUUUGGCAAAGAAAAUACUCCGAGCGGGUUAUUAUUGGCUCACUAUGGAACGAGAUUCCAUCAAUUUCGUUCGUAAAUGUCAUGAAUGCUAGGUACAUGGAGAUUUGAUACAUUCCCCUCCAUAUGAGUUGCAUACAAUGACUGCUCCAUAGACUUUUAUGGCUUGGGGAAUGGACAUAAUUGGACCAAUUGAAUCGAAGGCCUCGAAUGGACAUAGGUUCAUCUUAGUAGCCAUUGAUUAUUUCACGAAGUUGGUGGAAGCAAUGACUUUCAAGUCAGUGACCAAGAAAACAAUGGUUGAUUUUAUUCACUCCAACAUUAUUUGUCGGUUUGGUAUUCUGAAGAUAAUUGUCACCAUAAUGCUGCAAUCUCAACAGUUAUUUGAUGCAAAAAGUGUGCCAACAAUUUAAGAUUAUGCAUUGAAAUUCUAUUUCUUAUCACCCAAAGGCAAAUGGGGCUAUAGAAGCUGCCAACAAGACCUAAAGAAAAUACUCUGUAAGAUGGUGUAAGGUUUCCAAAAAUGGCAUGAAAAGUUACCUUUUUCUUUGUUGGGUUAUCGUACUACAGUUCGAACUUCAAUUGGUGCAACUCCCUACUUGUUAGUGUAUGGAACUGAAGCAGUUAUACCUGCAGAGAUUGAGAUUCCAUCUCUUCGAGUAGUUGUGGAAGCUGAAAUUGAUGAUAACCAAUGGGUCAAGACUCGUUUGGAGCAAUUAAGCCUGAUUGAUGAAAAAAGAUUGACAUCAGUAUGUCAUGGAUAACAAUACCAGAAGAGAAUGGCACGAGCAUAUAACAAAAAGGUGCUUCACAGACAUUUUAAAGUUGGUCAGUUAGUACUAAGACGCAUCCUUCCUCAUCAGAUUGAAGCUAAAUACAAAUUUUCUCCUAAUUGGCAUGGACCAUUCAAGGUGAAGAAAAUGUUACCUAAUGAUGCGUUAUAUCUGACCGAUGUAGAAGGCAAAAUGGAGGAAAUAUCGGUCAAUGCUGAUGCAGUGAAAAGAUAUUAUGUAUGAUAUUCAUGUACAAUUAUGUUAGGUAUGUUUUGUACUUACAUUUUUAAAGAUUUGAAAUGAUGAAGGCAUUUUGUUCUACUAUCCGAAUAAUAUAUCAACCUUUGCUUACCCCUUUGAGCUUUUAUUUUUCUUCGUACCCCUCUUUUGGAAUCAAAUUAAAGUCAGAAAAAAAAAUUGAGAAAAAAAAUUUGAAAAAAUAUAUAUUAAAAGAAUAAGAAAAAGAAGAAGAAGAAGAAGAAAUCAAUCAAAAAUUCAAAAUCAAACAAAAGAAUGAUGUUUCCUGAACUACGUUUGACCUGAUUCUUGCUAUGACAAGAUAUGUAGGCAGCCCCACUCUGGGGUUCGGUCUAACCAGAAGAAAAUUUAAAUUACCCAGAAUGAAAUGAAACUGGGGUAAAAAUUUAUUCUCUUAAAAGAAUUGAUUCCAAAAGUUGUAUGUUUCACCCAAUGUUAUAUAAAUUUUUGAGCCUCAUGCCGACCAUUCUUUCUAACUCUAUCCAAAAGUCAAGUUACAAUCAAAGAAAGACCUUCGGAUCAAUCUUUGAGAAUGUCAAGGCUAAACAUGUUAUGAGUGCAUAAUAUUUCAUAUUUUGGAUUUUUUUUUAAAAAAAUGAAAAAAUGAAAAUGAGAGAGUCUUGUUGGUGAAAAUCCUUUCGAACACCAUAAGACGACUGUGAGCUGAGAUAGAAAUGAAAAGGACAUAGGCUCGUUGGCAAAAACCCAUUGAGGUGCCAGUAGCCGAAGAAAGGUUGUUAUCAAGAAGGAAUAAGUUCAAGAUUAACUUAAUUUCAAGCUCAAUAAGUGGACAAAAGUUGUAAUGACUGGUGUGGGUAGGUCUGGUUGUUUGAUUCAAAAUGCAUGUCAUAAUUACCAGAAUCGGUUUCCACAUUCAGAUAAGUUUUCUCUUUGUUUUGAAAAAGAGAUGCCUUUUGUCUUUUUCUUUUUCUUUUAUUUUUUUGAAUUUUUGUGUCCUUGUUAUCAAACGAAAAUUUUUUGUUGUCUUUUGAGUCAAAUUCACGUCAGGUCGAGUGAGAAAGGACUCCAAACUCUCUACCAACUCCUUUAAGGGUACAAAGCAAGACAAAGGGUUGAUGCACACAGAUAACAUUUCAAAGUAAAAGUAAGGUACUCAAGUUAAUUGUUAUUUGACCAUUUUAAACUUGUGAAAGUCUAAGGGAUGUAUUGGAAGCUAAACUCAGAAGCAUCAUACAACAGAAACAUGAUUUGAGUUGAGGAUCUCAGUAGUUAGAAUUCUGAGUCAGAAGUAUGACAAUUCAAUUAAUAUUAUCAGGGAUUGAAAAAGAGUUGAGCAUGGCAAGUGCGAGAGCGGCCACUUCAAAAGCCAAAUGCCACAAACCAACCGCCACAUGUUUUAAAGCUCACAAUUUUUCUUUGUUUGGAACAGAGAUGAAAUAAUUGUUUUCAGAUAAAGGAUGCGAUUUCACACUUUUCUUAAUGCAAGAAACAUGGUUACUGCAUCCGAUACUGGAUCUUGGUCAUGGUAAACUUUAUUCUUUGCAACAUAUAUUAAGAUUCAGUGACACAUAAAUUUUUCCAGUACAAACUGGGGCAAAAAUUUUAUGUGUGUUGUAUGGGAAUUUAUUUUUGUUCAGGACCCUCCUGAAGAAUGAGAAUUUAUUUUAUGCUCAGGUCCCUCCUGAAGAAUGGGACAAGACCCUCCAGGAGAAUGAGAAUUUAUUUUGUGCUCAGGACCCUCCUGAAGAAUGGGACAGGACCCUCCUGAAGAAUGGAAAUUUAUUUUAUGCUCUGGACCCCCCUGAAGAAUGGGACAGGACCCUCCUGAAGAAUGAGAAUUUAUUUUAUGCUCAGGACCCUCCUGAAGAAUGGGACAGAACCCUCCUGAAGAAUGGGAAUUUAUUUUAUGCUCAGGACCCUCCUAAAGAAUGGGACAGGACUCUCCUGAAGAAUGAGAAUUUAUUUUGUGCUUAGGACCCUCCUGAAGAAUGGGACAGGACCCUCCUGAAGAAUGAGAAUUUAUUUUAUGCUCAGGACUCUCCUGAAGAAUGGGACAGGACCCUUCUGAAGAAUGAGAGUUUACUUUCUGCUCAGGACCCUUCUGAAGAAUGGGAAUUUAUUUUAUAUCCAGGACCCUCCUGAAGAAUGGGAUGUUAUUUUUCUGUUUCACUAUUUGCUUUGAUUCGAGGAGCCCGUUGAAGAACAGGGUGAAGAAAAGGAAGUUCAGGAGCCCGCCUGAAGAAUAGGAUGAAGAAAUUGUAAUUCCAGGAGCCCGCCUGAAGAACAGGGUGAAGAAGUUGUAAGUACAGGAGCCCGCCUGAAGAAUAGGGUGAUGAAGUUGUAAGUCCAGGAGCCCGCCUGAAGAACAGGGUGAAGAAAAAGAAAGUCUAGGAGCCCGCCCGAAGAAUAGGGUGAAUUUUUAAAUUCAAGUCGCUAAGGCUUGAAUCAAGAUUCUAGAGAUUGGAAUUUUUACUUGUAUUUUUCAUUUUUGAUUUUUAUUAGUCAGUUGAAUGUAAAAGCAGAAGUCGUCAAUCGAAAACUCAACGAAAUCUUACUCAACUUUAACUUUUUCUCUAACCAAAUUACUUUUGAACUACUCGUGACCUGAUUUUCUUAUAAUCCGGAAUAGGUAGGAUGUCCAAAACAAGGACUCGGUCACAUUUUUCUUUUAUUUUAAUUUUAAGUUUAUUUUAUUCUUAUUUUUCAAAUAAUCGGAGGAUUAAAAAAUCAUAUCUUGUCUACUUCUUUGUAUGAAAACUCUUCGAAAUUUCAUACAAAGAGGGGUAAAAAUGUAGACACGUGAUUUUUGAUCCUCCCUAAAUUUUAACUUGUUUAUCGAUAUUAAAUAUAUUAUAUUUUUAUAUUUAAUCACACAUUAUUUUGGCUUUUGUUUUUAUUUUUAUUCUAAUUUUAAAUAAUAUAAAAAUUAAAAAUAUAUGUUUUCUUUUAUAAAUUUUAAUAAAUAAAUUAAUAGUUUUAAUAUUAUUUUUAUUAUAUUUGUUUUUUUCCAUUUAUAAAUUUUUGUCUUGUUUUGUUAAAUAUAAAAUCCACUUCACUCCUAUGACUUUCCUGUCUUUAAGUCUUUUCACAAGUUUUCAAGUCUGGUUCUUCUCAAUCAUAGUGAGUUCUUCCUUCAUUGCAGCUCUCAAUUUUGGAUUUUUUUUUUGCUUCGCAAAAAUUUGUUGGCUCAAGAACAACCAUGUUGCAUCUCUAAUAGAUAUCAAAGAGUGAACUUGUGCCUCUCACCGGAACAUCAUUCACCAAUUCAUCUUCUUUCAACUGGGGUAUUUUACUUUGAUCUGGAAAUAGCACCGGUUCUGCUUCUUUCGAGUUCCAUUUUUCAUCCUCCAUGAAUUGAACAUCUCUACUUACCAGAAUUUUUCUUAUAUGAGGUUGGAAAACUCUGUAAGCCUUAGAAACAGUUCUAUAACCCACGAAUAUUCCAGCUUCUGACUUUUUAUCAAGCUUAUCUCUUUUACUCUGUGGCACAUAAGUAAAGCACAAACAUCCAAACACUUUGAGAUUUUUUAAAGAAGGUGUAUACCUAUACCAGAUUUCAAAUGGUGUCUUCCCUUCUAAUGCUUUUAUUGGAAGCCUGUUGAGUAGAAAGACUGAUGUAUGAGCAGCUUCUGCCCAAUACUCUUUUGGCAAACACUUCUCAUGCAACAAGCAUCGUGCCAUCUCCAUUAUGGUACGAUUCUUCCUCUCACUAACUCCAUUUUGUUGUGGAGUAUAUAGAGCAGUGAGUUGGUGUUCAAUUCUGGAUUCUUCACAAAAUGUAUUGAGUUGAUCAGAUGUAUACUCCUUGCCAUUGUUGGACCUUAAUGAUUGAAUCUUACAACCACUUUGAGUUUCAAUCCACUGCUUGAAUUUCCAGAAGAUAGUGGCAACCUCUAACUUGAACCUGAGAAAAUAAAUCCAACACAUUCUUGUAUAGUCAUAAAUGAAAACUAUGUAAUACUUACUCCCUUUGAGUGACGGAGUUCGGUGAGGACCCGAUAGAUCUGUGUGAAUUAAUUUUAACUUUUCAGUGGCUCUCCAGGUUGCUUUUUUGAAAGGAAGUCUUGCUUGCUUGCCAAAUUGGCAAGUUUUGAAAUCUAGAAUUUCGGCUUCAACAUUAGGUAGCCCUCGAACCAGAUCUUUCUUUUGAGAGUUCAUUAUAACAGCAUGGUUGAAAUGUCCGAGUCUUUUGUGCCAAACUUGUGCAUUAACUUUAGUUGCAGAAUAAACUUUUUGCUCAUGAUAUAAAAGAUCCAAUGUAAAGAUUCUUUCCUUCAUCAUUACCUUGAAUAAGUUUCUGCCAUCUUCAUCUUUGAUUUGACAGUAAUUGGUUUCAAAGAGAAGUUUGAAACCAUUCUCAAGCAUCUGCCUAGUACUCAACAAACUAUGACUAAUAUUAGGUACAAAAAACACAUCUUUGAUAAGUUUUGUACCUGAGGAGCAUUUCAUUUCCACAGUACCUUCGCCUUUGGCAGGAAUGUAGUCUCCAUUACCAACUUGUACUUUGAAAAUUACUGAAGUAUCCAACUCCUUGAAGAGAUCACGAUCAAAAGUCAUGCGGUUUGUGCAACCACUGUCAAUAAGCCACUUGUCACUCGAGCAGCUAGUUGCCCAACAUGUCGCUACAAAGAGUUGUUUUUCAUCUUCCUGAUUAGCUAGCUGUGCAGCAUUAGUUUGCUAAGUGUUUUUGCAAACCUUCUGAUGAUUUCCCAUCUGCUGACAUUUUUCACACUGCUGGUCUGGCCUUCUCCAGCAUUUGAACGGUGGAUGACCCUUCUUUCCACAAUGCUUGCAAUGAGGAAAAUCACGUUUCGUUCCCCUGUUGAUCCCAGGAGAAUGAGAACUUGAGUUUUUCUUCUUGUUCUGCUUCUUUUUUUCUUUGUCUCCCUGGUUUGAUUGAACUUUUGCAGGUAGUGCACCCUCAACAGAUCUUUCAGACCUCAUUAGUCUUCUUUGUUCUUGUGCCUGUAAAGCAUUCAAUAGUUUCGCCAAACUAAUCUGUGACAGAUCCUUAGAAUUUUCCAGCAAGGAAAUAGUUGUUUCAAACCUUUCGGUGACUGUUAUGUGAAUUUUUUGAACCAAUCUAGAAUCAGGAAAUUCAGAGUCAAGUAAUCUUACAUUGUUUGCAAUGUUGAGUAAUCUACCAGAAUACUCUUUGAUUGUCUCUGGAUCCUGCUGUCAUGCCCCAAAAUCCCAUCGGCCGGACUGGCACCCGAAGCCAAAAAGGCCCGGGAGAACCCGUUCAAAUACCUGUACUUUCACUUACAUGUCACCAAAAAUUGGACAGCACUUCGUUGCAUAUAGAAGGAUCUAAUUACCUGUAUCAACACAACACGCGCAAAUAUAUAUAUAUAUAAUACUUGAGGAUAUACAUGACAUAACUAGGGUCGGGACAAACCCCCGCCCACACAUGACUCAUGUACAAUAACAAAACAUAAGGAACCGACUCGGAAAGCUCCGAAGCAAACUGGAGCUCACCAACAAUAGCUGUAUGACCUGGCUCCUACUUGUGCGGUGUAUGAGCUGAGGUACCUGUGCCUGCAGCAUGAAAUGCAGGUCCCCCGUGAGGGACGUCAGUACGAAAUAUGUACUGAGUAUGUAAAGCUGUAAAUAAUCACAUAUGAUAUAGGAGCUCAAUAGAAAUCAGAAACAAGUGAAUAAGUCGUAAUAGGAGUGGACCACACUUACUAGAACUUGUGACAACCUGUACAUUGUAUUUAUUCAAUCACUUUACCUUCGUUCUUAUCGUCUUUGUAAUCAUUACUGUACUGUACUGUGACCAUUAGGCUGCCUCCAGUACAUAUCAACUGGGAUCGACCCAUGCUAGGCUUAUGCCCCUGGGAUACCACCCAUAAACACAUAAAUAGGGAUCGACCCAUGCUAGGCUUAUGCCCCUGGGAUACCACCCGAUAAGAGAGAACUUCCAUCACUUAGUUCAAUUAAUCUUUGAGAUUGUUAUUUCGGUCGCCACCACAUUUUUGAUACUUUGAAACAAUGAUACAUCAAUAGGAACCAAGUAAUAGACCUUCUAUACAAUAACGAUGUAAUAAAGACUCAUUGGUACAUCAACAAUGUGUUUCAGAAUCAUCAAUAUCACAACAAUGAAAUAGGAGCCUUUUGGUAUAUCAAUGAAACAUUUUGACACUUUAUAGGAUGGAAACAACUUCGUUGGUAACGUAGAACAAUACAUGUUUUUGGACAACCUCGGAAUCUUACUUGAUGGAACAUUGGUGUUUUCAUGCCAAAGAACAUUGUUAGAGUAUGCUUUACAUACCUCGUUGUAGAUUCGGAUACCAAUUCAACACAACUUCCCGCCUUUACAAAUCACUUAUCUACAAUGAAAUGUUUGGCAUCUAGUAUUAGCAACCCAACACCACAAUUCUCUUCCAUAAUUCCAUACUACCAAUAUUUGCAAAACAUUCCAAAAAUCAACUUGAACAAUAGGUUUAUGUGUAUAUAUAUAUAUAAUCAUCAUUUCAAUACCACAUCAUCACACCAAAUUCCUUCACCAUUCAACAUAAUCCAACAUCAUUUCCCAAUCAUCUUUCAACAACAAUCAAAUAACAUACUUCUUAUGCUCACAUGCAUAUAUAUAUAUAUACAUAUCCAUAUAAAUAACACCAACAUAAUUUACAUCCUUACCAUAAAAUGGCCCUUUUGAUUUCGAAGUCCUGUUGGCACAAAUAAGGGGUGCUUCUCGAAGCCCUUGAGAUGGUGAACACAACUACGGAAUCAAUCUGGAUUUUCUACGGUUGAAUCACAAGAUAUUAAGAGUUGAAAUUAGGCUAGGGUUUCUUAUUUUCAAUAAUUUGAUGAUAAUUGAUGGAUAUGAGACUAAUUAUAUGUAUAUAAUGACCAAUUUUCGUCCAUGAGGUGAUGGAAAAUGACCAUAUUGCCCUUAAAAAUUUAAGUAAAUCCGAAUCUGUCCAUGGUGGACUGUUUUGAUAGGCUAAAGUAAAUCGGCCAUAACUCUUUGCUCCGAUAUCGGAUUUGGGUGAAAUUGGUAUCGUUAGAAAGAUAAUUCAAAGGUAUUUCAUUUAAUAUAAAUUAAUCCACCCAGUUCGUCCUGUACAAGUAGUUAUGAUCGUUUGAAGUUGACCCUAAAAAUCUGUUUUGAGAGGCUGAAGUAAAACGAGUAUAACUCCUUACUCAGAUGUUGGAUUUGGAUGAAACCAAUUUCAUUGGAAAGAAGACUCAAAGAUCUUUCUUUUGAUAUAUGGUAGCUCAACCAGUUCAUUAUAUUGAGGGAGUUAUGAUCGUUCAAAGUUGACCCAAAAAACUGGCAGGCCUCAGUAGUUUCCUGCACAUUUUACUGUUCACAUCCCGGCCACCGUUUUAAAGUUUCGAACGAGCUCGCUUAUAUCCGAAACUUAUCCGUUUUUGGAAAUCUUUAUAUCGUUGGAAAGCUUAUUCAAUAACCUUCGUAUGGAACCAUCGACGGGAAAAUUCCGAUAUAAAUAAAGUCGAUUCCUAUACACCUAUAAUCAAACUAUACACUUGAAACCAUCUCAAAAUAAUCAAUACUCAUACUUAAACUCAUAUAUACCUAACUUAGGAUCAAUACAUAUACCCCAACACAUAUAACAAUGACUAAUGCACGUAAUUAAGUACGGGGUGUUACAUCCUUCCCCCCUUAAGGACAUUCGUCCUCGAAUGUGAAUGUAGUUAUUUAGCCGAAACAAGUUCAAGUCCACCAUUAACAUUCACAUCAUCACAUAAAUACUAUGCAUAUAUAAACAAAAACUUACUUGUUAAUGUUCUAACUCCGUUUCUUGAACUUCCUCUUCAUCUUUGAACAAAAUAACGUUGCUCUAGCCUUUGAUUUUCUUGUUUUCUUUUCCUUGUGAUUCCUAAUCUGCGCCAUGGUUGGAUUUUCAGGCAAGGGAGGAACUUCAUAGUCCUCCUCAACAGCUUCCCACAGAUCAUUUGCCUCCAUGUGUGCCUCCAUUCUUGCUGCCCAGACAUGAUAGCCUUCACCUUUGAAGACUGGUGGUGCUAGUGCAGUAAAAGGAGUCUCUGAAUCCAUAAAAGAAAAAAAAAAGAAGAGAAAGAUAUAUUUCCCUCAAAUGCAGGUCCCUCAAGAAGAGAGCUUUGAUACCAAUUUGUUAGAGUUUUAAGAUAAAUUCACUCUUAGAAACAGAACAAAGGCAAGAAACAGAGAAAGAAUUUGUUGCUAGAAAGUUACUUUUUUCAUUGAAUUGAAAUUGUGCUUAAAUAGAAAAAAUUGCAACAAUCAAAUCCUAUAAUUAAGCAACUACUUGUACAUGAUUCCAUGAUCAUCACAUCCAAAAAAAACUGAACCAUUAACACCUAAAAAACAGCAGCUAAACUAAGUUGAGAAGAUGGCUAAAAAACUGGAUAAUGUCCAGCAACUAUUCCUACUUUUACUGCAGAAAGUGAGGCAACAAUCAACAUUCUGCAUAGGAAUCUUUGGUACGUUAUUUCAACUUAGACGUGCUUGUUUGACAUUUUGCUUCAAUCAUAUUCACCUCUUUUAAUUUGUUGAUUAAUUAUGAUGAUGAUGAUGAUUGUAACUACAAUAUUAGAGUUUGAAAAGUCUUGAUUUUCUUUCUUACUUGUUUGGAUUAUCCUAUUUGUACACAAAAAUUAAGUCCCACAACGUGUUCAUAUUUCAUUUUCCAAUAAUUAAUUGGCCAAAAACUUUGCUUAAUAUGAGAUUCUGCAAUUUCAACUUAUCUAGUCCUCAUUUUCUUCUUACUCUUACUUCUGACUUCUGAGGUUAUAAUAGGUGACUUGUGACUUGUAACUGCUGUGUGGUAAUUUAAUGAUGCCUAAAGUCUUUGUAAUGUACGAGGCCAAGCCAAUUAAAAUAUGCUGAUUGAUCUAUAUAGUUAUAGUUACACACUCUAAUAGAAAGGAAUCAUCACAUUCAUUGCUUUUUGCGACUUUUUUUAUAGGCGCGCAUAGAUUACAGUAGUCUAACCGGCCUACCCUCCUACUCUCGUCUUUCUAAAUUCUAAUGGUUAGAGUUCACUGUUUGGUUUUCUUUUUUAAUUUUAGCUGGUUCUUAAUUAUAAUUAUGGUUAUUAUUUCUUGUUUAGAUUAUUAACAUUAAUAGUUUAAUUUAGUUGAUGGUUAAUCGCAAGUUUCGAUGGGUUCGACACGCUAAUCAUAUCACUUUAUUAUUUGUACGAUGGCUAAACUUACACGCAUUCGGUGUAUACACCAAAUUAAUGUUCUUUAUAAAGGUUAAGUAAUUAGAUUAAGUAAAAUAUAUAUUAAUUAAUCAUGAUUAAGUAACAUGAACUCUAAAUUUAAACACAUGACAUACAUGCAUUGAAUUAAUAUAUACACCGAGUGCAUAUAAAUUUUAACCCUCCUGUAUAUUAUAUUUGAAAGUAAUAAUGUCUAGGCUUAAUAAUUACUAGCUUCCUAAUUUGGCCUAACAUGUAACUUGUACAUCUAAACUUUUCUAAGUAUUUAUUUGCCCUAAACUAUUAUUUUUGGCAUAAAUCGAUUACUAUCCUAAUGCGUCUAAGUGGUUUCUUUUUAGCAGAUAAGAGAAAAAGGAAAAGUGAAAAUAAUUUCAGUUUCUUGUUUUUUCUUUAUUAUUUUUUCUUAUUUUUGUUUAGAACAUUAGAUUUGGUAGAGAUUUUUUUUUUUUUAAAAAAAAUAGACUAGUUUCGGGCAAGCUUAUUACAAACUGUUAGACCAACAUGGAUUGUGGUGCAGUGGAUGGAGCUGCAACACCCUUAAUCAGAGGUCGAGGGUUCGACCCUGGGUAUGGAGAAAACUCUGUUGGGAGCGCUGUCACCUUAAUGGGCCCUGCAACACGCGAUCCGGAUUAGUCGGGGCUCCAAUACCGGCAUCAAACACCGGGUGGAAACCCAAAAAAAAACAAACAAUCUCCCAUUAGAUUUUGGUUCGAGGUGUAAUUACAGCAAACAUUAUUGUAAUUUGGGUGUUAAUUAUAGAAACUUAGCAUAGUUUAGGUGGGGAGUUUAAUAUAUUAGGUUUAGGAGGAUAUCAAUCAAUCAAUCAAUAGACUAUAUACGUUUCAUUUUCAAAUCUGUUGGGGUAGAUUAUAUAAAACCCUUUUUGUCUAAUGUAAAGUUGGUACUUGGUACUGCAUGCAUAUAAAUGCAAUAAUACAGAGCUUUAAAUCUCAAUUAGUUGGUAAGAUUUACUAGGCUAUAAAAAUAAAAAGUUGAUAAUAUAAAUGUUUCUAAGCUGCUAGAGAUAGUCAUCUAUGGUAAUCAAUUUACCUAGGCAAUAUUGUUGAGAGAUGUUUGAUACCAUGUGUUCAUUGAACAGUUCCAAAAUAGCAAGAUGAAAGAAUUAAUGAACGCUGUAAAUCAGUAAAGAAAUAACCCCUCUGGUAUCACUUGGUGGCAUUUCAACAAUAAUAGUAUACACGUACCACAAGAACUGGAUUACAAGUAGUAACAACUAACAACAAUAGGAACAUUACUACAAAGCAUUUCACAUAAUAAGGACAUAUAGUAAUUAAACGGAGCAUAACAAAUAAUAAGUAUGCCUUUUUUUUCCCCUUCCUUUGUUUAAUUAAGAGCAAGAGAGGAUAAUUAAUUCAUUAAUUAAUACUAAUCACUCGAAUAGAUUCGUCAUUUUGAGUAGGAAGUGGAAGGUGACCCUUCUCCUGCAGACUCUUCACUGUCUCAUAUAAGCAUUGUUUCACAGGCGUAAACUCCUGGCCUAAGUCCUUCAGCUUUUGGUUCGAGAAUUUGUACGGUUUUGCCCUAGGCCUCGUCUCGUCUGAGCACCUGAAUAAAUAAUAAUACAUUUAAUUAUGAUAAUCUGUUCUAGAAAUCCUGAGCCGGGGGUCUAUCGGAAACUGGAAACAGCCUCUCUACUUUUACGUGGUAUGCGUACACUUUACCCUCCCAAGACCCCACUACGUGGGAAUGCAUCGGAUAUGUUGUUGUUGUAAUCUGUUCUAGAAACACGAUUACUGACACAUUACUACUAAUCAUUGCUAACAAUGACGUAUCUAUUUCAGUUUAAUAAUCUUUACAGAUGAUUUAAAUUACUAAGAAAAUAUGUCCCCUCCCACUAUUGUCGACACUAAAGAUGUCUCUAGAUCAUGCUAAUAAAGGUAAAGUGAGAGGAAGAAGUGGCUGGGACCAGACAAGAUUUGAUGUUUUGUAGGUGAGGCAAAUCCAAGUCCAGACAUAUUGCUAGAAACAUACUUGAAUGUUUGUGAAUGGGUAGUGGGGGUAUACUUUUAUUUAUCUUUUAUAUUUGUUUGGUCAAUAACCUACUAACACGUCAUAAUUUCAAAGAGAAGAAAGUUCCCUUUUUUAGGCAUAAAGAAUCUUUAGAUAUGGAGCAUCUUCAUUAAUUGGUACCGACGUUUUCAUAUGAAUCAAAUCCUGAGGAUUGAAACUGGUAGGAAUGUUUGUAACGUGCCAACAAGCAAGCAACGAAGCUACGCCUAACAUGUACUUGAAUAGGAUUAGCGAUGAAUUUUACUGUGCACGUUUUCUAUUUGUAGUGCGCGUAAUCUAAGCACUAAGGUUAGUUCAAAUAAUGGUUAAAUUUUGCUGAAAGAUAUGAGGAUAAUUACUUGGUGGGGAUGGGAUACUCCGGGAAGAACUUGGCAAGGAUUUCGACCACGUCGCCGCGAUGAAGCACGCUCUCAGCACAGAUAUAGCGGCCAGAUGCAGAAGGAGUCUCGUAGACAAGUAUGUGCGCAAGUGCAACAUCCUUAACAUGAACAUAUGCCUGAACUGAAUUGGCAUAUGUUUUGGCAGAGCCAGUUAGGUACUUUAGUAUGUGAAGAACACUUGCAUUCACUGUUGGCUGGAGCAGUGGUCCAAGCACCAACACUGGGUUGAUCACGACCAAAUCCACUCCUUUUUCCCUUGCCUCAUCCCACGCUGUUUUCUCCGCCACCAUUUUCCCAUAGCAGUACCAAUUCUGCAAAGCCAUUUUUGAAAAACAUGUCAAACAAAUUGAAAUCAACUAUAUGAAGGACACGUGCGUUAGUGAUUUUAUUUUCUUAAAAGACCUUAGUAUUCUUGCAGAAGUCGAGAUCACUCCAGCAAGUCUCGUCCACAACUUUCUCGGUGGCCCUAUCGGGGUCCAUGUAGACCGCACCAAUUGACGAAGUAAACACAACCCUUCCAACUUUGGCUUCUGCAGCUGCUGUUAUCACAUUCUUAGUCCCAAUUACUGCUGGCUCCACCAUUUGUUCCUUCACCAAAAAUAAAUAUAAAGGACCAAAAUGAAGAAGAAGCAUUACAUACUGGUGUACAAAGAACAUACAUAUUUCAAACUUGGAUGAACGUAUUAGUGGGAAACUGAAAGCUAAAGCAACUUUUCCAGCACACCUUCAACGUGUUAGCUAAUGAUCAACUGUGGUUAUAGACGUGGGCCCACUAUUUACGAAAGUGAAUAGAUGUUUCAUUUUACUUGUCUAUUUUAACAAAUCAAAGUUAUAGUCAUUUUUUUUUUCACGCUAUCCUUAGUAUUAAAUAACACCAUAAAGUAGCAGUAAUCAGAUUUAGAGGUUUAAAACAUCACGGAAACAGUAUUCUAUAUUUCAAUCUCUUCCCUCCUGUCUUUUUCAUAAAUCUCAAUCAACCACCAUCAGAAAAAGAAAGGAAGAAUCCUACGCCACUAGCUUGAGUGGCUGUAAACAAUCCUAACAAUGAAGCAAUUCAAAUGGCUUUAAUUCUAAACAGUAUCUUAUUAGAAUAAUUUUUUGAAAUAUUUGAGGGUUUUGUUGUUUAAUUUAUGUAAUUUAUCUCCAUCAACAUGAAUUAUACUUACUGGAUCAUCAGUGACAGGAGAGGCAGUGUGGAAGACUCCAUCACAGCCAUAGAUUGCUUCUCUCAAACUUUGGUAGUCCAGAAGAUCAGCUCUACACAGUGUCAGUCUCUCUUUUGCACCUUCAAGUUCUCUCAAGUGACUAUUUUUGGGAUCAUCUGAAUACAAAAUCAUAAUAAUCAAAUAAAAUAUCAUUAAUUUGGAAAUGGGCAUAAUACGUAAAUGUGUCCUUUUAACAAUUGGUUUAAGCUCACAUUUACGUCCUCUUGUGCACAAGUAAGCACAUAAACAUCCAACCUGACAAAUUGCGUGAGAUGCACGCAUUCUACGUGUCAAAUCACGAGAUUUGCAACAUAGCAUAUGUGUCUACUCGUGCAACUUUAUAUGAUAGUUUAAGAGUAUACAAAAAUGUAUCAUGAAUAUUGUACAAAAAUUGAAGAUUUACCAGGAUUUCUAACGGUUCCUCUAACAGUGUAGCCUUUUUGUAGGAGGAUUUUAACAAGCCAAGAAGCAAUGAAACCUCCGGCGCCGGUGACACAGACGACUUUGCCGGAUUCCGAUGGCAUACUCUUACUUUUAUAUAUUAUAAGAGGAAAAUGAAAGUAGUGAGUGAUUUCAAGUUGAUGGAAAAGAUGGACAAGGGAGGAGUAUAUAUAGGAGUUGGAAAAGCCAAAGCCAAUAUUCACCAACUUACCUACUACUGCAGGUUACAUACACUAAUUAUUUCUUGGCUUCAGCCUUCAAAUUUGGAACUUGAACUAGAAAAUGGAAUUUAGGAAUUUUCUACCUUAUUUGAAUUGGGUGUGUUUGGUAUGAAAGGAAAACAUUUUCUCGAAAAUGUUUUUCAAUUUUCUCAUGUUUGGUUGGCUUAAAGAUUUUAAAAAAUGAUUUUCAAAUUAACUUAUUUUUCAAAAAUGACUUCCCUUUAAAAAAAAAAAACAAAGUAAGAAAAAUAUUUUUCAAAACUCUCUUUCAACCUCACUUUAAGUUGAAAUAUUCACACAACUCUCAAAAUCACUCAUUCCUACUUCGACCCUCAAUCCCCCACCCCCAUCCCCACCCCGCCUCCUACCACCCCGAUUAAAAAAAAUAUUUUAAUUAUUUUUUCUUACUUCACCCCCUACCUAAAACCCAAAACCCUACUCCCUUCCCCUUUCUAAUUUUUUUGUUUUUGUUUUUUAAAUUCAAACUUUUUUCUUACCUCCCCUACCCGACCACCCUACCAACUUCCUCCCUCAUCCCAAAAAAGAAAAAAUUUAAAUUUAUUUUUUAAAAUUUUUUAAUUUUUUCCAUAUCCCACCGUCAUUCUCCUACCCCGACCCCCACCCCCAUUCCAAAAAAAUAUUUCAAUUUUUUUUUCUUACCUCACUCUUACUCCCUUACCCUGAAAAAAAAAUAUUUUUUAAGAAACCAAAACUAUUCUCUUAAUCGCUCUUACUAUCUAUUUUGACAACGCCACCCUCCACCUACCAACCCUCUCUUCAAAAAAAAAUAUUUUUUAAAAAUGUAUUUUUAUGCUUUAGCUAAAUACUAAAAUGUAUUUUUUGAAAAAUAUUUUUUCAUUCACCAACCAAACACUACAAAAUAUUUUUCGAAAAAUAUUUUUCAUUCACCAACCAAACAUAGAAAAAUAAAUAAAAAAUCAACUUAUUUUUCGAGAAAAUAUUUUAUAGGAAAAUAUUUUCCUUCAUACCAAAUACACCCUCAGUGUUUUAAUUCAGAAGGAUCUCCUUUGGAACAAAGAACAUAAGGAAUUUUUGGUGGAAAAGAACUCUUUUAUAUCUAUCACUUUUUUCUUUUUUUAAAAGUUGUGUAUUUCUAUAUCUAUAGUACUCUCUCCGUCCCAAAUUAUCUAUUUCAAAUUGAGAUAUCACAUUAAUUAAAAAAAAUAAUUAAUAAUAUGGUUAGUUUACCGUAGUACCCCUAUUAAAUGAUGUUUACAUUUUAAUUUGAAGACAAGGUAAUUAAUGCAAAGGGUAAAACAUGAAAAAAAAAAUUUGGUCUCUUCUUAAUUAAUGAAAAAAGACAAGUAAAUGAGAAAUCAAAUUAGAAAAUUUGAGACGGAGAGAGUAUAUAAUAAGUCAUAAUAAACCGCUUAAGCAGACUGUUUAUGAUCGACAUGCCUGCUUCAGUUGUUUCAAUCGUAAUUUUAUUUUAUUAUUCUUAAUUAAUUUUUAUAAGUUAUUUACGUAUUAAAAAAUUUAAAAUAUUUAAUAAAAAAUUUAAAAUAGACAUUUAUGACAUGACUGCUUCAGCUGCUUCAACCGUGAUUUUACGAUAUCACUCAUAAUUAGUUAUUAUAAUUUAUUUAAGUAUUAAAAAAUUAAUAAUAUUUAAUAAAAAAUAAAAUAGACAUGAAAUAAUAAAUUAUUUUUUGAUGUUUUUAUAAGCCAUUUAAGUAUUAAAAAAUUAAUAAUAUUUAAUAAAAAAUAAAAUAGGCAUAAAAUGAUACAUUAUUUUUUUAUGUUUUAAAUUAACUUGAUGUCUUAUAUGAGACCACUUAAAAAAAAAUUCAAAAAUAUUUGCUACGAUAAUUUUACUAUGUCACUUCUAAUUAGUAGAAUAGAAGAAAAAAAUAUUAUAAACCACAAUAAUAAAGAAUUUAAAUUAUUUAAAAAAAUAUAAUUGACUAUCAAUGACACAAAAGUUAGAACGACCUAAAAUAUUGUUAUACAAAUUUCAUUAAUCUAAAUAUAAUAAUACAUACCUAACUUAGAAUUUAUCGACCAAACAAAUGAAUGUUUUAAUUAAAUGAUAGAAUUAUACAUAAUGCAAAAUUUUUAAGGAUUGACAUUGGACCAUGCGUAGCACGGCGUAAGCCGACUAGUCUAUAAAUAGAAUGCAAUAUCAUCCAUACACAAUGCAAUUUCAUCCAUAGUAUAGUUCUUUAGAGAGUUUUGUCGGGGGUAAUUAAUUCUCAUAAUUUAUUUGGAACAAUUUUUUAUAUUAGUAUUAUUAUAGGAAAAAUUACUUAAAACUAGACCUUAACUUUUCAUUAUUACUUAAAAUCAUAUCCCUCUAAAUUAAUUACAAAAAUUCUUUCUAACUCAUAAAAUCCUAAUAUUUGCUGAUACAUUACAACCCAUCCUAUUUUUGCGCCUCCUACUCCUCAAAACUCGCCCAAAAUCACGAAGAAGUAUCCGAUAUUUUUCACCAACUCAGCAAUUUUAAAUUUCAACCGUGUUAUCAGUCACUACAACAUUCAAGUUUCAACUUUCAAUUACAACCUCCAUUAACUUUCUUCUUCAAAUUUAUAGGAGGUAAGUUUGUUUGCAUAAUUUUUUUUAUUACAAAGACAGUGACUUUUUGUGAAAAUAGAUCGAAGUAUCAUAACUAUCCAACUAUGAUGAAGAAACUACAGGAGAUUACUGGUAGUAGCAAUAAGAAGCAUAUUGUUGGUUGAUGUUCAUUGUUUUGGCAUCAAAGAUAACAUAAUGUAUCGUUAUGGCAUCAAAGAUAUGAAACUACGGGACAUGCUAGGAGCCCAUCCUUUUGGCAUAAAAGAUACAUUACAUAGAAAUAAGAAACUACGAGACACUAGGAGCCCGUCGUUUUGGCAUCAAAGAUAACGCAAUGUAUCGUUUUGUUAAAAAAAAAGUUUUUUUAUCAAAGGUAUGAAUUAUAUGUAUUCUUGUUAACGUAAUGUAUCAUAUGUAUAAACAAGUUUUCAAAUUGGGGAUUUUGAUAAUAAAAGAGGUGUGUUGCAGAUGACUAUAUUGUAUUCGUACAUAUCUGUUUGUUCUGAUAGAUCAUAAAAUUUAUGCGUGAUUUUGAUUCUUUCUACACCUGAUACAUUCAAUAUAAUAUGUCUGAUACAUGAUCCAAGGUUAAUAAGAUAUUGCAUGCUUUCUGACAUAUAAUUCAACCCAUAUGUGAUUUUGAUCCAUUUUUAUACCUGAUACAUUUAAUAUAUUGAUUAUCAUACAUAGAUCUAUUUUCUGACCAAACUAUUGAGUGCUUUCUGAUACAUAAAAAGAUUUAUAUAUGAUAUGAGUUUCGCAUUCCUAAUACAUUAAUUUUUUUACACCUCCUACAUUUAAUAUAUAUAUAUAUAUAUAUGUGUGUGUGUGUGUGUGUGAUAUGGGUUUCGCAUUCCUGAUACAUUAAUUUUUUUACAUAGAAAGAUAUAUAUGGAAUAUGGGAUUUGUACUUCUGAGAAAUCAAAUUCUUAUAUUGUGUUUAAUUUUUUUCUGAACGCAGGGGAUGAGAUUUUUAUGAUGAAAAUGAAAUGAAUGAUUGGAGAAGGAAUUAGUUUUGGGAGAUUAUGAUUGAUGAAGCUUGAUUUGACUAUUCAAAUUUCAAAUAAAGAAGUUGUUACAGAUUUUAUGUAAUUAAACAGACACAAUCUUAGAUUGAGUGUGUUAAUUACUAAAUUGUAGGCACUUUUACUGGUUUUUUCCUUUUUUAUCUCCAAUUAAUUAGUUAAUAAUGUGUCAUAAACUUAUGUAUAGGAGAUUAAAUAAUGUAUCAUAUUCGGGAUAUCACGUAAUUAAUAUAAAAGUUGAGAGACAGAGUAAUUAGGUAACAAAAUGUUGGGAUUUAUGUAAAAUGUCCAUUAUUAUAUGUAGGUCAAUUGACCAAAUUUAUACCAUAUCAUCAAAGUUUUUAAAAUUGUUUUACUUUGUAAUCUGUUUUAUCCUUCAAUGUUUGUAAUUAUUAGCUUACACAUAAUACUCUGAUUAUUUCUAUUUCAAAAAAAAAAGGGUAUAUCCUAUCAUUCUCAAAGCCCAUUUAUAAAAUUAAACAAUGUAAUUUGUGGGUUGGUUGGUUGUCACGUCUCCAGCUCAAAACAAAUGGUCAUUAGAUUUGGCUAGAGGUCCAUUAGUCCAGUACUUAAUCAGCUAUCCCACCAAAAUAUUAGGUAAUUUUCCAGAGAAUAUGAAGCUCAAAAAAACUUUGAAUAGACCUAAAAUCAGAACCAUCCCCAUUAGUAGAAAAACAUAAUUCAGGCCAAGCCAGCUACCGAGAUAUAUAUAAUUCAAUGGUAUUUUUGCUGUUUCGGCGGGUACAAAAUCUGUAUUUUUUUUUAUACAAACUUUAAACUAAGUUUAAGAAUAAGUUUUCAAGAACUACAAUGAAGUAUAACACCUUCAAACAUAAAUUCAAAUGAAUAAUCAAAAAGAACUAUCAAAUAAAGUGUUUAUCAACUAUUAGGAAAUGAAGAUGAAGUAGAAAAUUAUAGAAUCAAGUCCACCAAAUGCACGGUGUGUGCUUAAGGAAUUUAUUCCCCUCAAAUAACCGAGGUUAUGGAAUCUUUCCUUCCAUGAUAAAAUGAUUCUCUUUCUAAAAAUAACGGCACCUCAAAUUUUCAGAAACUUCGAACACACUCAGCGAUUUGAUGAUCACACGAGAGUUUUUAGAAGAAGAAGAAGAUUGUUUUUCUACUCAAAAAUUAAUUUUCUUUACCUGAGAAAAAAUUCAGGUAUUUAUAGCCAUCAAAGUGUUGUUUCAUGAAGAGAAGCAAUGGUUCAGAAAGAUGCACCCUUCAUAAAAGUGUAACUCUUCCGAAAAGGUGCAACUCUAUGGAAAGUCACAACCUAUUGGAGAGGUCAUACCACUCAAUACGAAAAUGUGUUUAUUCAAAUUGUAUCCUUUCUCUUAGUGUCUUUUCGUAAAAAAAAAUACCACAUUUUCAUUUUUCAUUCACACCUCUUAAUAACCCAAUAGUCCCCCACAUGAAUGGGGAAUGACUAUCUUAUCAAAAAUUUACGGAUAAGUAUGUGAUCAACAAGCAAAGACUGAUUGUUUCUGAAUAAGUAAGUUUCCCUUUGAACUUUCCGUAGUGAACAUGCAUCGGAUGCACUCAGUCAAUCGGUAGAUUUGAUAUCUUUGAACCAUCGAACUUUAAUGUACACCUAGACAACACACGUUACACAAUCAGUCUUUUACCAUUUAUUGUUCUCACAAUUUUAUUCGUUUUAGCCAUUAACACGUCGUGAUUUCAUGAAAGCGUAGAGAAUAGGCCUUUAUUAACAUUCUCUUUGAAUCGGCUUCCACUUCACCCUCACAUAGGUGAUUUCUAAACGUUCAAUCCUAUAGAUUAAACUAUUUGGUUAAAUCUAUCAAAUUUAGAUAAUCAUUAAAAAGCUUCACUCCAUAAGCCUUAUCAUUGUUUUCUAAAAAUUAUCUACACAAUGAGAUGAGUUGAAUAUAUUGACAAUGUUGAAUCGUCAGUCACAACUUUAUUUGAUCCCCUUUAACCUACCUCUUGGAAUCUCCAGUCUGCUAGGUAGAGUUACAGCCAUGCUGACUUGUCCUAGGUCGUAAAUCCAUUCUCUCGAUGUUCUCUCAACCCCCUCUCUAGAUAAGCAUUUUGUAAGUGAAAUCGACACAUUAUCCUUUAACUUCACAUAGUCAACAAUGAUAAUUCCACUAGAGAGUAGUUCUCUAACGGUAUUAUGUCUCCGUCUUAUAUGACGAGAUUUAUCGUUAUGCAUUAUGCUCCCUACUCUACCUAUCACCGUUUGGCUAUCAUAGUGUAUAUAUACUGGUGCCAAUGGUUUGGGCCAAUAAGGAAUAUCUUCUAAGAAAUUUCAGAGUCAUUCCACUUCUUCACCAACUUUAUCUAAUGCAAUAAAUUCAGGUUCCAUUGUCGAACGGACAAUACAUGUCUGUUUGAACGAUUUCCAGGAGAUUGCUACUCCACCUAAAGUAAAUACAUAUCCACUCGCGGAUUUUUACUUCAUUCGAUUUGGUGAUCCAAUUUGCAUCACUAUAUCCUUCAAUUACCGCUGGAUAUUUAUUAUAAUGCAAAACAUAGUCUUGAGUGUAUUUUAGAUACCUCAAAACUCUUUUCAUUGCCAUCCAAUGAAUUUUAUUGGAAUUACUUGUAUACCGACUCAAUUUACUAAUAGCUCAUGCUAUCUCUGGCCGUGUACAAUUCAUAAUAUACAUUAAACAUCCCAACACUCUUGCCUAGUUCAAUUGCGAGUCACUUUAACUUUCAUUCUUUUGAAGUGCAAAGCUCACGUUUAAUGGAGUCUUGACAAUACCGAAAUUCGAAUACUUGAAAUUGUCAAGUACCUUUUCAAUGUAAUGAGACUAUGACAACGCCAACCCUUAUGAUUCUUAUCUCUAAGAUCACAUCCGCAACUCCAAGGUCUUUCAUAUCAAACUUGCUCUCAAGCAUUUACGUCAGAAAUGUCUCUAAUGAUGAUCAAUAUGUCAUCCACAUAUAAACAAACAAUGACUUUGUGAUUUGGUGUAUCUUUGAUGUAAACACAUUUAUCACGUCUGUUUAUCUUAGAGCCGCUUGUCAACUUUGUUUGGUCAAACUUUGCAUUCACUCAGGCUUUCAACAAGUUGCUCAAAUUCCUAGUAUGUAUACAUUCAUCACUAUUUCUUAACCUAAACGUAAAUGUAUAGGAUAUUAUUACCUUAUUUAGUUCUUACGUUGCUGUUUCUGUCUUGCUUUCGAAAUGUUUAAUUUCGUGUAGUUAAUGUUAUAAUAACGCAUUACAAUUUAUAAGAAUUUAACUUCAUUUAAUUGUAGUUCACAUUUUAACACUACAAAAAAGAAUCAAUUUAUGGGGGUAUUUUGUUAAUUUGAGGCAGUUUAUAGCCCCAUAUAUUGAAUUGCAACGGUUUUAAAAAAAUGUCACAAUUAGCCUUGCGCUGAGCUCAUUUGCGACGGUUCUAAUAAACCUCUAUGACGAUCGUCACAAAAUGACUUAUAAAUUUGUGGAGGAUUUUAGUAUUAAUUUGUGACGAUUUAGAACCUUCACAAAAUAAUUUAAAUAUUUUGAAAAUUAGAUUUGUGUGGGUUUAUAAUUAUCGUGAUAUGAGAUUAAUAUUUGCAUAAUUUAAUUUAUAGAGCUUACAACUGCCACAAAGUACCAUUUUUUUAAAAAUAAAACAUGUGAAAUUUGAUUUACAUCAAUCUUUUAAAAUAAUAUGAAUACAUAAUUUUAUUAAAUAACACAUUCAAUAUAAAUCAAAUUUCAUCAAUAAUUACAUACUAAUAAGCUUUAUAAGUCAUGAUGUUAAAUAUUUGUGAUGUUAGACAAACUUGUGUAUAAUAACUUGAACAUUAUAAUUUUAAAUUCUUAAAAAUCGAAAGAGUUCCGCAUCAAAUAAACAUGAAAAUUUAAAGUGUUUGCUUGGUGAUUUGAAUUUUAGUCAUACAAUCCUCUAUUCAUGGUGACAUGAGCUCGACCUCUGCAUCAAGCUAAAAUAGUGAAAAUUGAAUAGAUGAUUAGAUAAACAUAUAUUGAUAUACAUAUAUCUUCAAACAUCAUGAUAAAAAUUUACAAAAUUAAUCUCAAAAAUAAAUUCAUAUAUAUUGAUAAAUAUUUAUAAAAUUAUGGAUAAAAGAAAAUUACUUUAUUAAUGAUGAAACAUUAAAUAGUGAUUGAGACUUUAUAAUAAUGUUCAUUUAAAGUUGUAAAAAAUUGUAAGAUAAACAUUACCGGCCUUAUGAUUUUCAAAAUUAUACAAUGAAUCUGAGUGUAUUGGUUCAAUCAUUUCUCACUUCUCUUAAUUUAUCUAUUAGACCCUUCUUGACUUUAUUUUUAUGUUAUAUUAUUAUCAAUCACAAUCUAAUCUUCAAAACUGUCUUUUAAUUUGCAAUAGUCAAAUUCAAUAAGAAUAAAAUUAUUCCAUGAUACUUAACUAAACAAAAUAAAAUUGAAACCUGCCUGAAAUCAAUUAAAGGCCAAAUAUAAAUGACUUUACGAUGUUGUAGAAAUUCAAAAAAAUCUUAAAAAUAAUAAAUAAUAAAAAGAACUCAUGUGAUGCUUAAAUUUAUUUGAUGUAGGAUUACCUAUAUAUUCAUAAAAUUAUUUAUCAGUCAUUCCACUUUAUUAAACCUACCAAAGAUAAAAGUAAAUUAAGGGGGGUGGGGGUGGGGGUUAUUAGAUUGGGUUUUAAGUUUUUUGGAGGAAAAUUUUAAUCUUUAAUAAUUUAUAACUUUUUAUAGGAGGGGAAAGUAUUACUAGAAUUUUGGUUGGUUUUGAUCCAAAUGUCAAAUGAGAGAUUUUUUUUGGUGCAUAAAACAAACUUCUUUUUUUUUAAUAAUUAUUCAAAAAAUCUACUAAUAAUUAUUAAUAAAAAUGUUUUAACUUAAAAAAUAACUAUGACAAGAGCAUAAAUAAGUUUGAAUGCAUACAAAAAUAAAUAUAAUGAAUAUGAGUAUAUGACUAUUGAUUUGGCAUUUAAGUUUUAUUUUAAACAACAUAAAAAUAAAUAUGUAUAAUAUAUUUGAGCCAAAGUUGAUCAUAUAAUAUUUUUCUAUAGUUUUACCAAUUAUGAAAUUUAAAUUAUUGUGUUAUGGUGCAACCAACAUCACUAAAUAACACAAAUAUCUAAUACAAAAUAGUAGUGUACAUAAAAUAAAAUGUUGAAAUGAAAUUGGGCAGAUAAAGUAUAAAAAAAAAAUAGAGAAUUCCUCAAUAGGUUUAAAAAAAAAAUAAAAAUGAUAAGUAAUUAUAAUAGUGUCAAAAUGAAGACGGAGAAGAGUGUGUUUUUGUAUGUUGUUAUAUAUAAUGAGUUAACUUUCAAAAUUAGUUAUUAUAUAACAUAAAAUUUGAGUGUAGUAAACUAUAAUAUUUAAAAAAAAAAAAAAAUUAGUUCCUAAAAAGUAACAAAUUUAAUAAAUUUGUGGAAGUCAAUAAAUGCUUUUAUAACCUUAAUAAAAUCGCCGCUAUAAUUUUUUUACAUUGCGGGGUAACAAUAAAAUGCAACGAAAUAAAUUAUUAGUGAAGUUUCUUUAAACAUUCACAAAUAAUCUAUCACAAAUUAACCAUUUCUUGUAGUGUAAACUUUAAGGUAAUGAGGUUUGUAUUAAAUUAACUUCUUAACUGUUGUCUAAAUAUUUUUUCUUAUAUUAACUACUAGUUAUUAGAAUAUUAGUACACACUGUAACGUUUUAGAACGCGUUAGUCAUUCGAAAAUUGUUAAAUGAAACAAAAUCUAAUAUAGUCAUGAACUAAAGGACUAAAGGAAAAUUGUUACUGUAAAAACAAUUUGGCAUUAUUUCAUGGACUAAAGGAUUUAUUGAAUAUAAAAAUCUAAUAUAGUCAAAUCUAUGUCUAGUGACAUCGUUUGAUCGAAAAUUUUAUGAUUGUUAUAGAGAGGUAAUGUUAUAUAUAAAUACUGAUAUUUGAUAUUCCGAUUUCAUUUAAUUUGUGAGAAGCAAAAGUACGCUAAGUUAGAAAGAACAUGAAUAUAAAAAACGCAAAUAUUAAUAGUCUUUUCCUCAUAAAGUUAUGAACUAAUCGAUAUGCACCAUUUAAAUAUAAUUUUUUUCUUUAAAUUAGAUUUUCGUACUUGAAAUUAACUGUCAAUUAACUGUGUGUGACAGUAAUGAUGAUUACCAUAAGAAAUUUGAUAUUUUAGUUUGUAUAUAAUGAUGUUGUUAUGAAAGGUAAUUUUAUAAAGAGUGUACUGCGAUAAUAAACGUCAUUGAAGUUAUAGGUAGAAUGUCAUUAUAGAUAAGUAAAACGGACAUGAAAAAUCGAUUCCAAAGUAAAUCAAACCGUUAUGAUGAAAUGUCGUUAUAAUGAGGUGACAGAAUAGAGAGACUGAUUUUGAUUGUAAUUAUUUGUACAUUAUUCUAUUUGUUGCCCAUCCAAAACAUGAUCAUUAAAACAAAAUUCUAUUACGUAGAAUAAAUAAUACAACAAUAAUCUGAAAAGCGAUUCAAAAAUAACAUGAACGUGAUAACAAAAUAUUAUUACAAAAAAUAAUUAUUAUAGAGCGAUAUGACUAUAUAAUGAUUAUUUUAACUUCGUCUUCCUGUUCAAAAAAUAUUCCUCAGCUAAAAACUUGUAUUUUAGUUUUCACUUCUCUUUCGAAGAAAUCUUUUAUCAUGAUCAAUUUGGAUAUUGUUAUCUAGAAAACAUUAACGAAUUUUAGUUGUAGACACAUCAUAAAUUAUGAGGUCUGACAGUUAAAUUUGAAAUAAUUUAGAAUUUUUAAUUAAUCAAAUAUAGAUACAUAGUAGAUCUUUUUUUAUACUUUAUUAUGAUCCACAUCUGAUUAUAUGAUAAAAUUAUGCGACUCAUAUUUAAUAUAUAGUCUAUCAGAUGAAGAACCAAAACGUUCUUUUAAACUACUCGAAAAGUUCAGCUAACUCUGUAUUUGAGCUUCAAACUUCAAACUUCAAUUAUAACAUGUAGGAAUUGCAUCUAUCCGGCAGACUAUUUCCAUCCUACAAUAUAGGUUAGGUACAACAUAAUUUUUUUUUAAGAGUAAUUAAUUCGUAAUAAAUAUCAAAAAACUUUAGACAAAAUCGACAUGUUCCACCUCUUAAGUGUAAUCACUGUCUCUCACUCGUGGUAACUAAUAAUGUGGAGGCACUUCUCUUCCCAAUUACAAGCGCAACUUUAAAAAAUGUGAUUCACUUAGGGGUGCGAAAAUUGAAUCGAUCAGUAAAUCAAAUUGAUAAAAAUCUUAUUGAUUUAUUGUUUUUGGGUUACUGAAUUAACGAUUUUGUAAUGAUUUUAUAAAAGAAAUUUAUUGGGUUUGAUUCGAUUUCGUUUUUUUCUUAUUGGGUCAUUGGAUAUAAACCAAUCGACAACCGAAUAUGUAUAUAUUUCUACAAAGAAACAAAUCUAUUCAAUUUUCUAAACUAACAUUCACUUCAAGCUUGUAGAUUCUAGUAAUCAAAAUACAUCAUGUAGGAUUUUGCCUGCAACUAAGAUUCAAUCUAUUUUCAUGUUAGUUGCUACUAUUUCUAUGCUAUGAGUAUUUUUUUAUUGGUUAAACCGAAAAUUAAAGCCGUUAAAGAGUAAAAAGCGAUAAACCGAAAACCGAUAAAAAACAUCUUAUUGAUUUGGUUAAUCGGUUUAGCAUAUUUAAAAUUCAAAAAUCGAUAAAUCAAAUCAAUAAUAUAUAAAAUUGAACCGAACUGACCGGUGAACAACCCUAGAUCCAACGAGUUUACGGUAAACAUGAACGUAGUUUCGUUGAUUGACUACUUGAAUUUUUAUUUCAUUAGUGAGAGUUUGAUUCCUCAUCUUGUUAUUCCCUUUCCCUAUGGCCGGUGUAAUUUUUAUUUUUAUUUUUUGGAAAAAAAAGCAUCAACUAUUUUUUUUUCUCAAGUUGAACAAGAUAGUUUGCUAUAUUCAUGAAAGACUUUUCAUUAGUUUUUAGAAAAAAAAAAUAAAAAAAUUAAGGGAACCAAAAAAAUACGCUUGACAUUUUUUUUUAAUCAAACAAAAAAAGGAAAAACUUUUUCAUUUUUAAUUUACAAAAAAAACAUUAGGUAGCAAAUAUUUGGCCAGAUAUCAAAGUAUAAUUUAAGAUGCAUAGAACUUGCAUGUAUAUAUCUAAUUAGAAUUAAUUUAAAUUUUGAAAACUAAUUACUGUAAUACUCCUGCAAGCUGGAAUCUAAUUUUCUUGGAAUAACUGUCAAUAUCAAAGUUGGUCUAGAUGGCUGCUGGCUAUUAAAAAAGAGAGAGAGAUAAUUAAUUACUACAGUAUACAUCCUCAUAUUAUACAAAUUAAAGAGUUUUGUUAAAUGAAUGUACAAAUUAUAAAGCCGUCUCUAACCCAAAAUCUAAUUAAAUAAAUUGGGUAAGGGAUGAUGUGCCCAACAUACAUAUAGUAUUCAUAUUUAUUAACAUCUACGGAUUUUUUGUUUUUUAAAAAAUAAUUAGCAGUUUAUCUAUAUCUAUAAUUUAUAAUCUAUAUCAAUAUAUAUAUAUAUAUAUAAUAAUAAUAUAUUAAAAGUAUGAAGACCUUUAGAAAAGUGAAUUGAACUUUUUGCCCUUCAUUAAAAUUCCUUGCUUUAGACAAAAUCAUCUUUUUCAUUAUUUUUCUUAAUAUUUAAGAGUUAAAAAUUAAUUAAAUAUAUUUAUGGUAAAAACUUUUCCUUAUGAGAAAACAUCAGAAUUUCUAUAUCUUUUUCUAAUUUAAGAGUUGAAAAUUAAUUAAAUAUAUUUAUGGUAAAAUUUUUCCUUAUUAGAAGUCAUCAAAAUUAACGACAACUGAUAUUUUUUCUAUCAGUUUAAGAAUUCUAAAUCAACUAAAUUUAAUUUAAAGAAGAUUUGAAAAAUCUAAAAAUAAUUAUAAAACUAUUAGAAUAAGAAAAGAUUAAAAAGUUCCAGAUUUUUAAACGUUUUAAGUACGUAAUAGAAUGUAAUCAAUAAAUUUAUAAAGAUUUGACUUUAAUAAUAAGGAAAGAUUUUAAAUGUAUAAAAAAAAAAAAGAAAAAUAAUCGUAACACAAAUAUGGUUCAAAUUGAUGAAUCUCUCUUAGCCUGUGGCAACAAGGGAAAGAUGUACGCAAACGCAAAAGUGAUAAUCCAUCAACCACUUGGAACUAGUAAAACAUAUAUGUCUAUAUGUUUAUGUUUACAUUAUUAUAUUAAAGUGUGAAAGUUUUUUGAAAAGUGAUUUGAAUUUUUACACUUUAUUAAAAAUCUCCAUAAUAGAUAAAAUCAUUUAAUUUUAAAUAAUCAAACGUUACGCGGUUACACUAGUACUCAAAAAUAAGGUAAUAUAAAAGUUGGCAUUUUCUUUUUAUCUAUAGUUUAAUUUAAUUGUUUUAACACGGGGACUUGUUUUAUGAUCUGGCAAAUCAAUUCAAUUUAUCAAGUCUGUUUCUUUAAAGUCUUUGUUUAUUUAAUGCUCCAUAAAAAAUAAGGGGCCAUUUAAAGUCUAAAGCGAAAGAUAAAUAACGAUUUUGGUUAUUUUUUUUCUCUUCAUUUUUAGUUGCAACCACCAGCUGAUAAUGAAAUUUGAUGAUUUACAGUGAAUAUUUGGAUAUUUGAUUGUCAGUUUUACUAACUGAAAACCUGCUACAUUUCAUUAUUAAUUUUCCAUUUUAUUUUACUGUAUUGUCUUGUUAGCAUAUAUAGCUCUCAACCUACAACUGAAAAUUGACAAGAGCUAUAACUGAAAAUUGACAAUUCUUUCAUUCUGUGUUUGUAAACACGUAAUUUUUUAUCCUCCCUAAUUUUAACUCGUUUAUCGAUAUUAAAUAUUUAUAUUUAUAUUUAUAUUUAUAUUUAAUCAUAUAUUAUUUUGAUUCUUAUUUUUAUUUUUAAUAAUUUUUAGUUAAAAAAAUAAAUAGUUAAAUAAAGUUAGCUUCAAGAUAUUUUAUUUUUAUUUAUUAUUCUAAUUUUUCAAAUAAUAUAAAAAAUUUAAAAAUAUUUUCAUAAAUUUUUAAUAAAUAAAUUAGUAGUUUAAAUACUAUUUUAUUAUAUUUAUAUUUGUCUAUUUAUAAAUAGUUAUUAUGUUUAAUAAAUACAAAAUUAAUUAAUUAUUAGUAUAUUAUUAUUAAUGUUUUAUUAUUUUAUUUAUUUAUUUAUUAUUAUUAUCUUUAUUUAUUAUUGUUACCAUUAUCUUCUAUAUAAAAAUAAUAAUAAUAAUAAUAAUAAUAAUAAUAAUAAUAAUAAAUUGAAUUUUAAAUACCCCUCCCCCUUAUCUGACAAUUAAUAACUGUUCCCCCUCUUAAAGAUAACUAUUCUCCCAAUCCCUGUAUUUAAGGGUACUUACACUGUUUUCAACAGGGGAUUCUACGUACAUUCAUUCUCAGACACCUAUAGAUUAUCAGAAAGUCAGACAGUAAAAAAAACAUAGAAAAAGAAAGAGAAAGACAGACUGUGAAAAAUAUCAGAUAAAAAGAGAGAAAAAAGGGUGAAGUUGAAUUUGAUUCCGUUUGAGUUUUCAGUGCAGACUGUUUCUCGCUUUAUUUUUUAGUUCAUGUAAUUACAGGUUCUUUUUAUGUUGUAAGUUUAUAGAGGAAAAAAAGUAUGAAUAAAAAUAUCAAGUGAUUUCAUGCUUUAUGAAUGGUAGAUUGAUUAAAAGAACAUUUGUUAUUAUAUGUUAUGAGAUUAAAAUUAUCGAAUAUUUAUAUAUUUGUACAUGAAUAAGUCUCUAAAUUAAAACUCUGUAUGUUGAUACUAUUAAAUUUAAAAUGGGGACACAAAGGAAAAAAGUGAAACAAAAAAAAAAUAGAUUCUAUUUCUCACAUGCACACACCAGAACAUGAAUACCUUACAAACUGCACACAUCACUCACAGAUAUAGCAAUUCACGCGCAUGAAAAUAAAAUACAUGCAUACAAAAAAUGAGAUUGGAAUAAAAAAUCAAUAAAAAUAGAAUAGUUGGGAACGGAAAAAAAAUCAGUGAAAACAGAAACGAGAGGGAGAUGAAAAAUUAUUUAAAGGAUAAAAGGAAAAUUGUCAAUCUUUCUUUGAAUUUUUCGGCGAAUUUUCUCGCCGGAAAUACAUCAAAAAAUUCACCAUUGUCUGAAUUCAUUCUAUUUUAUCAAAAUUCGACCCUUAUGGUCGGUUCCGGCGAAUCAACUCGCUGGAAAAACUUCGCCGGCCCUGCGUCGUCACACCCCUCCCCAGAUCUAGUCAGAAUCUUUUCCAUCGACGAAAAACCGCCGCUGCCGUCCCCUCUCCCGUCCCCAUUCAUCGAUGUAACCCAAAACCAGCGUAAUUCCGCCAGUAACCCCUGAACCGGCGGAAAAUCACCAAAUCUGUUGUGACUCAUCGAUCUCCUUCCUUCUCCCUUUUCCAGCGAUCUCCAUUGCUGCCAUAAAUAUUGUAAAAAAAUAAAAUAAAUUUUUUUAUUUUUUUUUCUUUUGGAAUACUGAAUGUACGUAGAAGAGAAGAUAUCUUUAUAUUUCUUUUAUUAUUGUUUCCUUUUAGGAUAAAUACCCAUGUCCCUAUGUUUGCGUAUAAUAUAAAAUUAUUUUAUUUAAUAAUUAGUAAAAAAUAAAGUAUGAAUAAAUUUGAUACUAAUAAAGUUUAUUAUUUAUUUUUUGAAAUUUCGUGUGUGAUUUGUCUUAUAAUAUAUAAUUUGAGUUUAUUUAAUUUAAAAUGAUUAUUUUUACAAAAAAAAAUUAUUAUUAUAAUAUAUGUAGAUUUGUAUAUUUUAUUAACAAAAUUUAAUAAUUAUUUAUUUAAUUAAUUAUGUUAAAUGAAUUUUGCUUUAAUUUAUUAUUACGGGUUUAGAUAAAUUUUAUACGCGUUUUAAACAUUCGUCUCAAUUAAGAAUGUGGCAUACGUAUCUUUUGAAACAUUUAAAAUUUAAGGAUGCAAUAAUGCACCUUGAUAAACAAUUUUUCUAAAAUUAUUUUUUUCGUUGAUUUAUUUAAUAUAAGAUAAUAGACAAGUUUUUUUCGGUAUAGUAAAAUAAGCAAAUUUAGGCCUUAACACAAUUUAUUGAAAUAGUUUUAGUUAAGUACAAGUCAAUAGAAGCGACUGUGCUAGAACCGCGGGACUCGAGGGGUGCCUAACACCUUUACUUCGGUCAAUAGAAUUCCUUACCCGGUCUUCUGUUUUCACAAACCAAAUAAAAGAGUCAUUUCCUUUUGACUAGGGAUUCAAAAAGGUGACUUGGAACACCAUUACUCAAUUCCAAGUGGCGACUCUGUAAAUAAAAUAAUCCCUAUUCAAAACCAUCACUUGAAUUGAAAAAACACUUCAACCUCGACCCUCGAGCCAAAAAGGGGUGUGACAUCUCUGGCGACUCUGUUGGGGAAUAAUAAGAAUUCAAACUUUUUAUAUUGACUUAUACUUGCUUUAAUUAUUGUUGAUAUUGUGUUUGUUGGCCUUACGUCCUACUUAUCGCUUAUUUACCGCUUUGAUAUUGAUUGAACUGUAUUAUAUACUGUCUUCUCUUGCGCACCCCCUCUGAGUCUCUGAACUAGGAUAGAAGGAAUGCAACGCAUGCAUCCUACUUUCUUUUUGAGAUAGCCGGAGUGUCAAGACACCUGGUGAAGGAUUAUAGUCACACAUGUUAGGCGGGGCUCGGAUCGACAACAAAGGCAGUGUUGCCCUGAUACUGACCAAGUUGUCCCUCCCCGGCUCGAGUGUCCGCUCGGGUAAGCCAGUCUAGACACCUAUCUCUAUUAGGCUUAAUCCUAGAAGAACUAAAAACUCAGAAUCUGGUUAUCCCUAUUAGGUGCCGCUUUAUUUGCAUCAUAUGCAUUUGACUUAGCGGAACUUGGUGCAGGGGUUGGGUCUGUCUAGGACAGGUGACCUACUUUAUAAAGACCAACAUGUGCAUCCUUCGUGCUCUUUGACAUUUGUUUGGAAGGUUGUUUGUUUGUUGACCGGCUUUGGGCAACUUUAAAAUCCAAGAGAUUAAAUUAUCCUCACAUUUAGUGAAUCAUUUUUUUAUCUUUUUUUUAAAAAAGGAAAAUUUUAUUUUUAAAAGAAAGAAAAUUUUUUAGUAAUAUAGUUUUAUGGUCUUCAUGAACUACAAUGGUCUGAUUCUCACUCUUUAGUGGGAUACGUAGGAAGUCCUUCUCAGGAUACGACCCUAUCUUUUGAAAAUUAUUCAUAGACUUAUUGGGGAAUAUUUUGAAAAUAUAAUUACUUUCAUAAUUAUUUUUCUAAUUCUCAAGUCUAAUUUAUAUAUAUUUUAAUAGCCCUGAAUCUUUAGGGAUCAUGAGGCUAAGUUUUUACAAAAUAAAUAAUAUAUAUAAAUCAUAAUAGCCUGAACCUUUAGGAGUCGUGAGCUGAAUUUUUGUAAAAUAAUAAAAUAUGUAAACAUAUAUUUUAACAGUCCUGAACCUUUAGAGGUCGUGAGGCUGAAAUUUUUAUACAACUUCAUACAUAAAACAAUCAUUCUUCUUUUCUUUAUUUCUAAAUCAUUUUAUUUGAUUUUUGUUCUUUUUAAAUGUACUUAGGGGGUAUUGUCUCUAAACAUAUAGUUAAAAUUCUCUGGAGGUCUGUUAUUGCAAAAUUUUUGAUUGAGUCAACUUAAAUAAGUAUUUUUCCUAAAAAUAUUAUCAUUCAUGUUUCUCUCACUUUGAUUUUUAAUAAAAUAGUUCUUUACAUCUAGGUCUUAAUUUAAUGAUCGCACUAGUUCUCACGAGUCAAGUUAAAACUUCUUUUCAAAAAUUAAUGAAUUAAGUCCUGCCUAAGUCUAGACAUUUAUUAAUCUCAUGUCCUUAUCAAUAGGUAUAAAAUGUCUCCUCCUGUUCAAGGAAAAUGUCCAAGAGAAAGAGGGAUGGGAGUGUACCGCUUCAGGUUGUAGAUUGUACCCCUUUGUAGCUUUGGUUGUGGUGGAACGAAAUGGAUACAUUCGAUUAUGACGAGAUACAUUAGUAUUUGAGUUUUUUGACGAGUAUUAUGUCAAUCAAGCCUAAUAGGGAGGUGAUUGAUGCAUUACUAAUCUUUUGGGACCCGAAGAACAAUGUGUUUCGCUUUUAGGAUUUUGAGUUGACUUUGACUUCAGAGGAGAUAGCGACCUAUGUUGGAUAUGGGGAUAUGCAUUGGAAGAAACUUAUAGCCCCAAGACUCAUUUCGAUAAACAGAUUCUGCAAGCUCAUGAACAUACGAAACUCAAAAGAAGAAUCAAUGAAAAAAGGUUGGGUUUUCUUGCAGUUUUUGUAUGACAGAUAUGGAAGACAAUAGGGGUUUGAAAAGUACGGUAAAUAGCUUUAUAAUAAAGAAAGUUUUGAGGCUUGUAAAGUUCACAGAGGAUUUGCAUUCAUGGUAGCCUUUCUAGGCACUAUGGUUUUCCCGAGGAGAGAAGAAAAAAUUAAUAUUCGUUUAACGGGGGUGGUACAGAUACUGAUUAAAAAAGAUUACACUGUGGUACCAAUGAUCCUGGUAGAUAUCUACCGAGCUUUGACCGUUUGUCAGAAAGGAAAGAGUUUUUUUUAGGGAUGUAAUAUCUUAUUAUAGAUGUAGAUUGUGGAGCAUAUUUACCGACGUCCUACAAUGGCAAGGUUUAAUCCUGAAUGAUUUAAUCGCAUCAAAGAUUACGAAGAGAGGAUAGAGAAAUAUAAAUGCCCAGAAGGAGUUAGAGAUUAGGAUAAGCUUUUUCGCUCUCUGAUAGCAGAUAAAAUCACUUAGAAUCUCCCUUGGUUCCCUUGGAGGCAAGUCAUACACAGUUCUGUCAUUCGACCGUUGUUAUUAUUAAUGGGUAUUAGGGGUGUUCAACCGUAUGUUUCAUUGAGAGUUUUACGUCGGCUAGGAAGACGUCAAAUAAUUUCCAUUAUGGAAAAUAUGACCGAGUUUGUAUUUGAGGUCAAACCAGAGAUCCCACUUCCAGAGAAAUUGGCCCAGUAGAUUUGGGAGGGUUGCCGUAUCAUGGGGAUUGAAAUGAUGGUCAUAGAGCGUGAGAAAGGAGAAGUGCACCCUGAUUAUCGUGAAUGGUUUGAAGAAUAAUUGAGUCCGCCAGUCAGACCAGAAAGAUCGGUUAGGGGAACUAUAGAUUAGGAAGCUGCAAUCAGGAUAGGAAUUGAGAGAGCCAUGCGAGAACAUCAUGAGGCCAACCAAGCUUUGAGAGAGAAAUUAGAGCAUGCCAGGGCAAAAAUAGACGAACAACAAAGGGAAUUUGCUGAAGAGAAAGCUAAAUCAGUAGAUAUUGAGGUUGCACUUCGGGGACAAAUCAAACUGGCUACCGCUAGGGGGUCACACGUUGCAGAACUUGCCGCAUCUCGCCGACAGCAACUGCAAGAAGUUGAAAAGAAUAUACAAGAAGAAUUUGAUCGAGAGAGAUCUCAAUGGAUCCGUGAAAAAGGAUUAUUGCGAGAACAGUUGGAGUUUGUUUCUACUCGUGAACAGCGUGCAAGAGAGAUGGUUGAUUUCUGAGAUCGACAAGCCCAUGAAUGGGAUCAGGCCUUCAGUUCCCUUUGAGGAAAGGUCCAUCGUGUAGUACAGGAUACUGCCAGAAUGGGUUUGGAUUAUCAUCAGUUGGAUCGUGAAGACUUUUUGGCUCAAGUUCCAGCUUUUGCACAACGUCUCACUACUUUAUUGGAGGACAUAUAUUUGAGUUUGGGAGGACAUAUUAAGCCGAAGUCUCCUUAAAUGGAUAGUUGUUUUCUUUGUCAUAGUUUUUCAUUUUCAGUUUUAAAACUUCUUGUUUAGAUGUUAUGUCUUUUAGUUUUAUUUGUCAGAUGUCAGUUAGUAGAUUUUAUUUUAGGAGUUAGGUCAGUUAUUUUGUUGUAUUUAUAUUAUGAAAUGUAAUGAAGUUGACUGUUUAUUUCUAUAUAAAUUACAUAUGUUUUACUUUACUUACCUUAUUUAAUUUCUUCAAUAAAAAAAAGACAAAACAAUCAUUUUGUUAAAUUCCUCCCGAACUACGCAAGAUCUGAUUCAUAUACUGGCAUGAUACGUAGACAACCCUCCAAAGAGUUCGAUCAUAACUUUUGAAAAAGCAUGCCUGGAAAAGCCAGGAUGAAACACAAAGCCUUCCAUGAUCGGUUGAAAAAUGCAUAUAGAAGCAUGAUAUACAACGUGGCGUUAUAAUGUGUUGAAUAUAUAACACUUACUUGUUUGCUACUUGAUAUAGAAAGAUAAAGUAAUUGGUGGUUGGUUUGUGGUUUAAACCGAUAUCACAUUCGUACAAUACCAGAUAUAAGGGAAAAAGAAAAAUGACCCACAGAGAAGGUAUAGGGUCUGACAGUGAAGAAGAUCAAAAUCAGUUGAUUUCACAGGAAGUAGCAUCAAUGGAAGAACUUCAGUUAUUGAAACAACAGAUGACAGAGAUGUACUAAGCUUGUUUGAAUGGACAAGCCCCGUCUUCUUCAAUACCUGAACUUUCUACUUCGAAUGAUCCAAAUCCUGUUCCAGCUCAAACUAGUGAUCCAUUUUACCCACCAGGAUUCGGCCCUUUUGCUAAUAUGUCUGGUGUUGCUGGUACUUCUACCAUACGCCCACCAAUCCGUCUGUCACAAAUAACCCAUUUUUUACUUUUAUAGCACUAGCUACUGCAAGUACUCAACCGACAGUACCAAAGAAUAUGAGGUAACCAAGUCAUGAUCUGUUGUAUCCUCCUGAAAUGACUUUCAAAUUCCAAAAUCCACAUUAUCAUGCAUAUCAACAUGAUUCUCCAAUCAUGAUUGAGAAGAUUGUUAAAAAUGAGGAACAAGAGGAAAUAGCUAGGAAAGUAAGAAGCUUGAAGCAGAGUAUGAGAAGUAUGCAAGGAUUAGGUGGACCAAAAAUUGUUUCAUACAAAGAUUUAUGUAUGUUUUCGGACGUCCAUUUUCUUCUAGGGUUCAAAAUGCCAAAGUUUGAGAAAUACGAAGGUCAUGGCGAUCCUGUAGCCCAUUUGAAGAAGUUCUGCAAUCAAUUAAGAGGAGUAGGAGGAAAAGAAGAACUAUUGAUGGCUUACUUUGGAGAAAUCCUAACAAGAAUAGCUUCUGAAUGGUUUAUUGACCAAGACAUUUCUCGUUGGCACGUAUGGGAUGACAUGGCUCGAGAUUUUGUUCAAUAAUUUCAAUAUAACAUUGAGAUAAUGCCAAAUCGCACUACGCUUGCUAACAUGAGAAAAAAGAUGACUGAAAAUUUUUGAGAAUAUGCUAUCAGAUGGAGAGAGCAGGCUUCAAGAGUCAGAACAUUGAUAAAGGAAUCUAAAAUUAUCGAUAUCUUUUUGCAAGCUCAAGAACCCAAUUAUUUCCAUCACUUAAUUUCUACUAUUGGAAGCACAUUUACUGAAGUUAUUAAGGUUGGAGAUAUGGUAGAGAAUGGAAUAAAGUCAUGAAAUUUUAUCAGCCAGGCCGCUUUGAAAGCAACAACGCAGGCAAUUCAAAGUGUUGCCGGAAGUUUCGGGGGGAAGAAAAGAAAAGAGGACGUAGCAACUAUCGUACCAGGUCCACGACAAAAUUGGAGAGGUGCGCGUCAACCAUAUGCAUAAAAUACAUUAUAUUUCAUUCAAUCCCCCUAAUAUCCUAUUUCCAAUGCACAACCAUAUGCUCAGGAUCCUUCUUACCCGCAAUGGCAUGCACCAGCUAUCCAAAAUCAUCCACUGAUCCCGCAAAUUCAAAGAGGACCUCCUAGAUCUAAUUUUAGACCUAGAGUAGAAUACAAAAGGGAUAACAUGGGCAAAGAUAAUUUCACUCCUAUUGGAAUAUCUUACACAGAGGAGAUAGCGACCUAUGUUGGAUAUGGGGAUAUGCAUUGGAAGAAACUUAUAGCCCCAAGACUCAUUUCGAUAAACAGAUUCUGCAAGCUCAUGAACAUACGAAACUCAAAAGAAGAAUCAAUGAAAAAAGGUUGGGUUUUCUUGCAGUUUUUGUAUGACAGAUAUGGAAGACAAUAGGGGUUUGAAAAGUACGGUAAAUAGCUUUAUAAUAAAGAAAGUUUUGAGGCUUUUAAAGGUCUCAGGGGAUUUGCAUUCAUGGUAGCCUUUCUAGGCACUAUGGUUUUCCCGAGGAGAGAAGAAAAAAUUAAUAUUCGUUUAACGGGGGUGGUACAGAUACUGAUUAAAAAAGAUUACACUGUGGUACCAAUGAUCCUGGUAGAUAUCUACCGAGCUUUGACCGUUUGUCAGAAAGGAAAGAGUUUUUUUUAGGGAUGUAAUAUCUUAUUAUAGAUGUAGAUUGUGGAGCAUAUUUACCGACGUCCUACAAUGGCAAGGUUUAAUCCUGAAUGAUUUAAUCGCAUCAAAGAUUACGAAGAGAGGAUAGAGAAAUAUAAAUGCCCAGAAGGAGUUAGAGAUUAGGAUAAGCUUUUUCGCUCUCUGAUAGCAGAUAAAAUCACUUAGAAUCUCCCUUGGUUCCCUUGGAGGCAAGUCAUACACAGUUCUGUCAUUCGACCGUUGUUAUUAUUAAUGGGUAUUAGGGGUGUUCAACCGUAUGUUUCAUUGAGAGUUUUACGUCGGCUAGGAAGACGUCAAAUAAUUUCCAUUAUGGAAAAUAUGACCGAGUUUGUAUUUGAGGUCAAACCAGAGAUCCCACUUCCAGAGAAAUUGGCCCAGUAGAUUUGGGAGGGUUGCCGUAUCAUGGGGAUUGAAAUGAUGGUCAUAGAGCGUGAGAAAGGAGAAGUGCACCCUGAUUAUCGUGAAUGGUUUGAAGAAUAAUUGAGUCCGCCAGUCAGACCAGAAAGAUCGGUUAGGGGAACUAUAGAUUAGGAAGCUGCAAUCAGGAUAGGAAUUGAGAGAGCCAUGCGAGAACAUCAUGAGGCCAACCAAGCUUUGAGAGAGAAAUUAGAGCAUGCCAGGGCAAAAAUAGACGAACAACAAAGGGAAUUUGCUGAAGAGAAAGCUAAAUCAGUAGAUAUUGAGGUUGCACUUCGGGGACAAAUCAAACUGGCUACCGCUAGGGGGUCACACGUUGCAGAACUUGCCGCAUCUCGCCGACAGCAACUGCAAGAAGUUGAAAAGAAUAUACAAGAAGAAUUUGAUCGAGAGAGAUCUCAAUGGAUCCGUGAAAAAGGAUUAUUGCGAGAACAGUUGGAGUUUGUUUCUACUCGUGAACAGCGUGCAAGAGAGAUGGUUGAUUUCUGAGAUCGACAAGCCCAUGAAUGGGAUCAGGCCUUCAGUUCCCUUUGAGGAAAGGUCCAUCGUGUAGUACAGGAUACUGCCAGAAUGGGUUUGGAUUAUCAUCAGUUGGAUCGUGAAGACUUUUUGGCUCAAGUUCCAGCUUUUGCACAACGUCUCACUACUUUAUUGGAGGACAUAUAUUUGAGUUUGGGAGGACAUAUUAAGCCGAAGUCUCCUUAAAUGGAUAGUUGUUUUCUUUGUCAUAGUUUUUCAUUUUCAGUUUUAAAACUUCUUGUUUAGAUGUUAUGUCUUUUAGUUUUAUUUGUCAGAUGUCAGUUAGUAGAUUUUAUUUUAGGAGUUAGGUCAGUUAUUUUGUUGUAUUUAUAUUAUGAAAUGUAAUGAAGUUGACUGUUUAUUUCUAUAUAAAUUACAUAUGUUUUACUUUACUUACCUUAUUUAAUUUCUUCAAUAAAAAAAAGACAAAACAAUCAUUUUGUUAAAUUCCUCCCGAACUACGCAAGAUCUGAUUCAUAUACUGGCAUGAUACGUAGACAACCCUCCAAAGAGUUCGAUCAUAACUUUUGAAAAAGCAUGCCUGGAAAAGCCAGGAUGAAACACAAAGCCUUCCAUGAUCGGUUGAAAAAUGCAUAUAGAAGCAUGAUAUACAACGUGGCGUUAUAAUGUGUUGAAUAUAUAACACUUACUUGUUUGCUACUUGAUAUAGAAAGAUAAAGUAAUUGGUGGUUGGUUUGUGGUUUAAACCGAUAUCACAUUCGUACAAUACCAGAUAUAAGGGAAAAAGAAAAAUGACCCACAGAGAAGGUAUAGGGUCUGACAGUGAAGAAGAUCAAAAUCAGUUGAUUUCACAGGAAGUAGCAUCAAUGGAAGAACUUCAGUUAUUGAAACAACAGAUGACAGAGAUGUACUAAGCUUGUUUGAAUGGACAAGCCCCGUCUUCUUCAAUACCUGAACUUUCUACUUCGAAUGAUCCAAAUCCUGUUCCAGCUCAAACUAGUGAUCCAUUUUACCCACCAGGAUUCGGCCCUUUUGCUAAUAUGUCUGGUGUUGCUGGUACUUCUACCAUACGCCCACCAAUCCGUCUGUCACAAAUAACCCAUUUUUUACUUUUAUAGCACUAGCUACUGCAAGUACUCAACCGACAGUACCAAAGAAUAUGAGGUAACCAAGUCAUGAUCUGUUGUAUCCUCCUGAAAUGACUUUCAAAUUCCAAAAUCCACAUUAUCAUGCAUAUCAACAUGAUUCUCCAAUCAUGAUUGAGAAGAUUGUUAAAAAUGAGGAACAAGAGGAAAUAGCUAGGAAAGUAAGAAGCUUGAAGCAGAGUAUGAGAAGUAUGCAAGGAUUAGGUGGACCAAAAAUUGUUUCAUACAAAGAUUUAUGUAUGUUUUCGGACGUCCAUUUUCUUCUAGGGUUCAAAAUGCCAAAGUUUGAGAAAUACGAAGGUCAUGGCGAUCCUGUAGCCCAUUUGAAGAAGUUCUGCAAUCAAUUAAGAGGAGUAGGAGGAAAAGAAGAACUAUUGAUGGCUUACUUUGGAGAAAUCCUAACAAGAAUAGCUUCUGAAUGGUUUAUUGACCAAGACAUUUCUCGUUGGCACGUAUGGGAUGACAUGGCUCGAGAUUUUGUUCAAUAAUUUCAAUAUAACAUUGAGAUAAUGCCAAAUCGCACUACGCUUGCUAACAUGAGAAAAAAGAUGACUGAAAAUUUUUGAGAAUAUGCUAUCAGAUGGAGAGAGCAGGCUUCAAGAGUCAGUCCAUCGAUAAAAGAAUCUGAAAUUAUCGAUAUCUUUUUGCAAGCUCAAGAACCCAAUUAUUUCCAUCACUUAAUUUCUACUAUUGGAAGCACAUUUACUGAAGUUAUUAAGGUUGGAGAUAUGGUAGAGAAUGGAAUAAAGUCAUGAAAUUUUAUCAGCCAGGCCGCUUUGAAAGCAACAACGCAGGCAAUUCAAAGUGUUGCCGGAAGUUUCGGGGGGAAGAAAAGAAAAGAGGACGUAGCAACUAUCGUACCAGGUCCACGACAAAAUUGGAGAGGUGCGCGUCAACCAUAUGCAUAAAAUACAUUAUAUUUCAUUCAAUCCCCCUAAUAUCCUAUUUCCAAUGCACAACCAUAUGCUCAGGAUCCUUCUUACCCGCAAUGGCAUGCACCAGCUAUCCAAAAUCAUCCACUGAUCCCGCAAAUUCAAAGAGGACCUCCUAGAUCUAAUUUUAGACCUAGAGUAGAAUACAAAAGGGAUAACAUGGGCAAAGAUAAUUUCACUCCUAUUGGAAUAUCUUACACCAGUUUAUUUCCUAGACUGAAAAAAAUAAAUGUUCUAAACCCAAUUGAGAGAAGAAUCCAAAACCCUUCUCCGAAGAACUUGGACUAUUCUAGAAGAUGUGAAUAUUGUUCUGAUGCCCUAGGGCAUGACACAGAGAGAUGUUGGUAUCUGAAAAGAGCUAGUCAAGGACUGAUUGACACCCAACUGAUCAUGGUACAAAGUACAGACGCUCCAAAUAUCAAUCAAAAUCCACUGCCAAAUCAUAAUAAAGUAAACAUGCUCGAAGUGAUACCCAGUGGUAAAGAUGCUGUAAUAUCCUUCAAGCCGAUCAUUAAAAUUAAAACUGAUGCGGAAAAAUCAACAAAUGAUAUAGACUUGACAAAAGAAAAACCUGUAGAAGCAGAGGUGGUGAUAUUAAAACUCGAAUCAUCGAAUGUUCCCUUGGUGAUGGAGCAAGAUAUUUCAAAAAAUGAUGGGUCAAGUCAAGUAAAGCCAAAACUCAUUGUUCCUAGAAGAUCCCCUAAGCCUCUCAUAAUCAUAAAAGGAGCUUCCGUACCUCCCAUUAUUAUUAAACCAGUGUCACAGUUGCCUAUGGUUAAUACUAAGGCAAUCCCUUGGAACUAUGAUCGCAUUGUGGUGAUGCACAAGGGGAAGGAAGUGAUUGAAGAUGUGGAUGAAGUAGGGGGAUUAACUCGAUUUGGAAGAUGUUAUGCCCCAGUAGAGUUAAGAAAGAAUAAACAAGGCAAUGAAGAACGAAUGACGGUCAAGAAGCUUGUUACUGACGAAGAAGCUGAAGAAUUCUUAAAGAAAAUGAAAUUGCCAGAAUAUUCUGUUGUAGAAUAGUUGAAGAAGAAACCAACACAAUUUUCUUUGUUGUCUUUAUUAAUACAUUCAGAAGAACACCGUAAGGCUAUAAUGAAGAUUCUUAACGAAGCAUGUGUUCCCAGUGAGAUUAAAGUGAAUCAGCUGGAAAAAGUUAUUGAAAGAAUCCUUGAAGCAAAUAAGAUUACUUUCUCAGAUGAUGAAUUGCCUGUGGAAGGUACUAGACAUAAUAAAGGUCUCUACAUUACUGUGAAAUAUGAGCAUUCCAUCGUCACUCGAGUGUUAAUUGAUGGAGGAUCAGGCGCUAACAUUUGUUCGAUGUCAACUUUACAAAAUUUAAAUGUAAAUAUAGAAAGAAUCUGACCUAACAAUGUAUGCAUCAAAGGUUUUGACUGAUCAAAAAUCGAUACCAUUGGUGAAAUAAAACUCAUUUUGACAAUCGGGCCUGUGGAUUUUGCUAUGGAUUUCCAAGUGCUGAACAUUGAUGCUUCAUAUAAUAUGUUAUUGGGAAGGCCAUGGAUUCAUAGGGCUAAAGCAGUCGCAUCAACAUUGCACCAAAUGGUCAAAUUUGAACAUAACAAACAAGAGAUAGUUGUUUAUGGUGAAGGAGACUUAUCCAUGUAUAAAGACUACCCCGUUUCCUUCAUCGAAGUAGAUACUGCAAACAGAGUAUUAAUUCAUUAACCUUUUGAGGUAGUGGCUGUUGAGCAUAUCCUCAAGGGAAAUCUCAUCGCAAGACCACAAUUAUCCUCUACAUCUGUUAUGGUAGUGAAUGAAAUGUUGAAGCAUGGUUUCGAACCAGGGAAAGGUCUAGGAUUGUUUCUGCAAGGCAGGGUUAAUCCAGUAAACCUCCAUGAGAACUUUAGUACUUUUGGUUUGGGAUACGUGCCCACUGCUGAAGAUAUAAAAAAGAAAGAGUCAUGGACACUUACCAAGCCGAUACCGCCACUUCACGAAUCCUUCAUCAAAGUCAGCAUUGUCGAGUCCUCUAUGUUACCUGCAACAGAGUCAGUGAAUGAUGAUGAUACAGAGUUGAUUGGAAUUUUCCAGAAUAUGUUCAUUGAAGCUGAUAUGGUUGAAAUUAGGGAAGGUACCAGCAAUGCAGAUGUGCAGUUUAUCGGCCCUGAUGUCCAGCUUAACAAUUGGGGGGCCACUCCUCUCCCUACUAUGAAAGAGUCUUGGUAGUUUGUUUGUUUUUCUUUUAGUCUUGGUAGCUCAUUUUUCUUUUCAUAAUUUGAAUAAUUUUAGUAUUGUAAUUCAGAUCUUUACCUUGUUAUUUUAGGUUAAAAUUCUUUCUAGCUUUGUUUUUAAUAAAGUGCAGUCUCCCUUUAUUUUAUUUUGAGUCUGAUAUUUAUUUCUUUCUUUCUUUAUUUUCUAUCAUACAAUUCUUUCUAUGCUGAUUCUAAUGAUAUGACAUGCAUGAAGAGUUGUCAACCAGAUUUAAAAACCCAAUCUAAUAAUGAAAUAAUGAAUAAAGAAGUUGAAUAUGAUGAAGAAGAAGCAUUAGAAGAUAUAAGCAAAGAUUUUAAACAGUUUGAGAAAAAAUCAAACCCCAAUUUAGAGGAAACUGAAGCGAUCAAUUUAGGAGAUCAUGAAAAUAUUAGGGAGACUAAGAUAAGUGUACAUGCUCAACCACAAUAAAAGAAAGCUAUAAUUGAAGCUUUGCUUAAGUAUAAAGACAUCUUUGCGUGGUCAUAUGAUGAUAUGCCCGGUUUGAGCACCGAUUUGGUAGUUCAUAAAUUGCCAAUUGAUCCUACUUUCCCACCUGUUAAGCAAAAGCUAAGGAAGCUUAAAACCGACAUGAGUGUAAAAAUCAAAGAGGAGAUCUAAGACAUUAUUUAUCACGUCAUGGGGGACAUAUUGUUAUCGAGUUAUGUCGUUCGGACUAAAGAAUGCUGGGGAAACUUAUAUGAGGGCAAUGACUACAAUGUUUCACGACAUGAUGCACAAGGAGAUUGAAGUUUAUGUUGACAAAGUGAUCAUUAAAUCCAGAGAGCAGUUUGACCAUGUCAAAGAUCUUAGAAAAUUCUUUGAAAGGCUUCGAAGGUAUGAUCUCAAACUUAACCCAACAAAACGUGUAUUUGGAGUCCUGUUAGGAAAGCUUUUGGAUUUUAUAGUCAGUCGGCGUGGCAUUGAGUUAGAUCCUUCAAAAAUAAAAGCUAUUCAAGAUUUGCCUCCACCAAAGAAUAAAAUAGAGGUGAUGAUAUUACUUGGAAGGUUGAAUUAUAUCAGUAGAUUCAUUGCUCAGCUUAUGACAACCUGCGGGCCAAUAUUCAAGUUGUUGAAGAAGAAUGCUAAAGUUGAAUGGACAAAAGAAUGUCAAGAGAUAUUUGACAAAAUUAAGAGGUACUUGUCGAAUCCGCCUAUUUUAGUUCCUCCAGAGCCAGGUAGACCCUUGAUAUUGUACAUGUCUGUGUUAGACAAUUCUUUUGGCUGUGUAUUGGGUCAACAUGAUGUCACUGGCAGAAAAGAACAGGCUAUCUACUACCUUAGCAAAAAGUUUACCACUUAUGAGGCUAAGUACACUCUUCUUGAGAACACGUGUUGCGCCUUAACUUGGGUAGCCCAAAAGCUGAAACAUUACUUGUCAUCUUAUACUACUUAACUCAUCUCUCGUAUGGAUCCUUUAAAGUACAUUUUUCAGAAGUCUAUGCCCACAGGCAGACUCGCGAAAUGGCAGAUGUUACACACAGAGUUUGAUAUUGUCUAUGUGACACGAACUGUAAUGAAAGAUCAAGCUUUAGCGGAUCAUUUGGAUGAAAAUCCUAUUGAUGAGGAGUAUGAACCAUUGAAGACUUAUUUUCCAGAUGAAGAGGUAUUGUAUGUUGAUGAGCUUGUUUCUGACGAUUGUCAUUCAGGCUGAAAAUUAUUCUUUGAUGGAGCUGCUAAUGUAAAAGAAGUGGGGAUAGGAGCAGUUCUUAUUUUUAAAUCAGGACAAUACUAUCCUAUAACAGCCCAACUUUGAUUCUAUUGUACCAAUAAUAUGGCAGAAUACGAAGCUUGCAUUCUGGGUUCGAGAUUAGCUAUUGACAUGGGAAUCCAAGAACUGUUAGUUUUAGGAGACUCAGAUUUGUUAGUCCAUUAAAUCCAAGGAGAUUAGAAGACACGUGAUUCAAAGCUCCUACUAUAUCGAGGUUGUUUGCAAGAUCUAUAUCAACCAUUUGUAUCAGUAAAUUUCAAACACAUUCCCAGAGCUCAUAAUAAGAUUGUUGAUGUUUUGGCGACCUUAUCUUCAAUGCUUCAAUAUCCCGACAAAACUUAUAUUGGCCCUUUGCAUAUACAGAUUCAUGAUUAACAUGCAUAUUUCAAUGUGGUUGAGAAAGAACUUGAUGGGGAGCCGUGGUUCCAUGAUAUUAAAGAAUAUAUUCAGACUAGAAAAUAUCCUAUCCAUGUCAAUGGUAACCAAAAGAGAACUAUUCGACGUUUGUCUAGUGGAUUUUUACUAAGUGGAGAUAUCUUGUAUAAGAGGACUCCUGAUUUGGGACUUUUGAGGUGUGUAGAUGCUAAAGAAGCUUCAAAAAUCAUUACUGAAGUACAUUCUGGGAUUUGUGGACCACACAUGAGUGGAUAUGUUUUGGCAAAAAAAAUACUCCGUGCAGGUUAUUAUUGGCUCACCAUGGAGCGAGAUUUCAUCAAUUUCAUUCGUAAAUAUCAUAAAUGUCAAGUACACGGGGACUUGAUACAUUCCCCUGCAUCUGAGUUGCAUACAAUGACUGCUCCAUGGUCUUUUGUGGCUUGGGAAAUAGACGUAAUUGGACCAAUUGAACCAAACGCUUCGAAUAGACAUAAGUUCAUCUUAGUAGCCAUUGAUUAUUUUACGAAGUAGGUGGAAGUAGCAACUUUCAAGUCAGUGACCAAGAAAGUAAUGGUUGAUUUUAUUCACUCCAACAUCAUUUGUUGGUUCGACAUUCCAAAGAUAAUUAUCACGGAUAAUGCUACGAAUCUCAAUAGCCAUCUGAUGCAAGAAGUGUGCCAGCAAUUUAAGAUCAUGCAUCGGAAUUCAACUCCUUAUCGUCCAAAAGCGAAUGGAAUUGUAGAAGCUGCCAACAAGAACUUAAAGAAAAUACUCCGUAAGAUGGUGCAGGGUUCUCGAUAGUGGCAUGAAAAGUUACCUUUUGCUUUGUUAGGCUAUCGUACUACAGUUUGGACUUCAAUUGGUGCAACUCCUUACUUGUUAGUGUACGAAACUGAAGUAGUUAUACCUGCAGAGAUUGAAAUUUCAUCUCUUCGAGUAGUUGUAGAAGCUAAAAUUGAUGAUGACCAAUGGGUCAAUACUCGUUUGGAGCAAUUAAGAUUGAUUGAUAAAAAAAAGAUUAACAUCAGUAUGUCAUAGACAACUAUCCAGAAGAGAAUGGCACGAGCAUAUAACAAAAAGGUGCGUCACAGACAUUUUGAAGUUGGUUAGUAAGUACUAAGACGCAUCCUACCCCAUCAGAUUGAAGCCAAAAGCAAAUUUUAUCCUAAUUGGCAUGGACCAUUCAUGGUGAAGAAAGUGUUACCUAAUGGCGCGUUAUAUCUGAAUGAUAUAGAAGGCAAAAUGGAAGGAAUGCCCAUCAAUGCUGAUGCUGUUAAAAGAUCUUAUGUAUAAUAUUCAUGUACAAUUACAUUAUGUACGUUUUGUACUUGCAUUUUAAAAGAUUGAAAUGAUGAAGGCAUUUUGUUCUACUAUUCGAAUAAUAUAUCAACCUUUGCUUACCCCUUUUGAGAUUUUAUCUUUCUUCGUACCCCUCUUUUGGAAUCAAAUAUGUGAAAAAAAAAGUUGAAAGAAAAAGAUUGAAAUGAUGAAGGCAUUUUGUUCUACUAUUCGAAUAAUAUAUCAACCUUUGCUUACCCCUUUUGAGAUUUUAUCUUUCUUCGUACCCCUCUUUUGGAAUCAAAUAUGUGAAAAAAAAAGUUGAAAGAAAAUAAAAAAAAUCAAUUAAAAAUUCAAAAUCAAGCAAAAGAAAUUUGCCUGAACUACGUUUGACCUGAUUCUUGCUAUGCCAAGAUACGUGGGCAGCCCUACUUCGGGGUUUGGUCCAUCCAAAAGAAAAUUCAAAUUACCCAGAAUGAAAGAAAACUGGGGCAAAAGUUUAUUUUCUUAAAAAAAAAAUCGAUUCCAAAAGUUGAAUAUUUUACCCAAUGUUGUGUAAAUUUUGAUCCUCAUGUCGACCUAUAUUUCUAACUCAGUACAAAAGCAAAGUUACAACAAAAAAAAAGACCUUCAGAUCAAUCUUUCAGAAUAUCAAGGGUAAACAUGUUAUGGGUGCAUGAUAUUUCAUAUUUUGGGUGUUUACUUAAAAAAAGAAGGGAAAAUUGAUGAAAAAGAGAGAGUCUUAUUGGUGAAAACCCUGUUGGGUACCAUAAGGCGACUGUAAGCUGAGAAAGAAAUGAAAAUGAGAUAGGCUUGUUGGCAAAAACCCAUUGAGGUGCCACUAGCCGAAGGAGAGUAGUUAUCCAGAAGAAACAAGUUCAAGAUUGGCUAAAUUUUAAGCUCAAUAAGUGGACAAAAGUUGUAAUGAUUAGUGUGGGUAAAUCUGGUUGUUUGAUUCAAAAUGCAUGUCAUAAUCAUCAGAAUCGAUUUUCACGUUCAGAUAAGUUUUUCUUUUUGUGUUGAAAAAGAAAUGAUUAUUGUCUUUUUCUUUUUCUUUUAUUUUAAUUUUUGAUUUUUGUGUCCUUGUCAUCAAAAAGAAAAUUUUGUUGUCUUGUAUAUGUUUUUGAGUCAAAUUCACGUCAGGUCAAGUGAGAAAUAACUCCAAAUUUACUACCAACUUCUUCAAUGGUAAAAGCAAGACAAAUGGUCGACAUACAAAGAGAACACUUCAAAGUAUAAUGAAGUACUCAGAAUGAUCGUGAUUUGAUAAUUUUUGGCUCAUUGAAAGGUAAAAGGUGUAUGAAAAAUUAAAUCCUGAGAUAUUAUACAAGAGAAAUAUGUCUUAAGUUGAGAGUAUCAGUAGUCAGAAUUUUGGGUCAGAAGUAUGACAAGUCAAUGGAUAUCAAUUUAGGAAUGAAAAGAAGUUGAGCAUGAAAAGUGCAAGAACAGUCAGUUCAAGAGCCAAAUACCACAAACCAACCACAAUGUGUUUUUAAAACUCACAAUUUGUCUUUGUUUUGUUUGAAAAAGAAAGUUUUCAAAUAAAGGAUGCAAUUUCAUACUUUUGUCUAUGCAACAGUCAUGAUUACAACACACAAUGCCGGAAGUUCAGGAGCCCGCCUGAAGAAAAGGGUGAAGAAGUAACAAGUCAAGAGCCCGCCUGAAGAACAGGGUAAGAAAAGAGAAAGCCCAAGAGUCCGCCUGAAGAAUAGGAUGAAGAAAUUGUACGUCCAGGAGCCCGCCUGAAGAAUAGGGUGAAGAAAUUGUAAAUCCAGGAGACUGCCUAAAGAACAGGGUGAAGAAAAAAUGGAAGUUCAGGAGCCCGCCUGAAGAACAGGGUGAAGAAAAAAAGAAGUCCAGAAGCCCGCCUGAAGAACAGGGUGAAGAAAAAAAGAAGUCCAGAAGCCCGCCUGAAGAACAGGGUGAAGAAAAAUGAAAGUCCAGGAACCCUCCUGAAGAACAGGGUGAAGAAAAGAGAAGGCCGAGGAGCCCGCCUGAAGAGCAGGGUGAAGAAAAGAGAAAGUUCAGGAGCCCGCCUGAAGAACAGGGUGAAGAAAAAAUGAAAUUCCAGGAACCCGCCUGAAGAAUAGGGUGAAGAAAAGAGAAAGUCCAAGAGCCCGCCUAAGAACAAGGUGAAGAAAUUAUAAGUCCAGGGGCCCGCCUAAAGAACAGGGUGAAGAAAUUAUAAGUCCAAAAGCCUGCCUGAUAAAUAAGGUGAAGAAAAAAAGAAGUCCAGGAGCCCGCUUGAAGAAUAGGGUGAAGAAAAAAUUAUAAAUCAAGAGCCCGCCUGAAGAACAGGGUGAAGAAAUUGUAAGUUCAGGAGCCCUCCUGAAGAACAGGGUAAAGAUAUUCUAAGUCCAGGAGCCUGCCGGAAGAACAGGGUGAAGAAAAAAGGAAGUCUAGGAGCCUGCCUGAAGAACAGGGUGAAGAAAAAAAGGAAGUCCAGGAGCCCGCCUAAAGAACAAGGUGAAGAAAAUGAAAGUCCAGUAGCCCGCCUAAAGAACAGGGUGAAUAAAAUCAAGUCCAAGAGUCAUCCAGAAGAACAGGGCGAAGGAAAAGCAAGCCAGUAGCCUGCCUAAAGAAUAAGGUGAAUUUUCAAGUUCAAGUCACGAAGAUUAGAAUCAAGAUUCUAGAGAUUGUAAUUUUCAUUUGUAUUUUUCAUUUUUGAUUUUUUGUUAGCCAUUUGAAUGUAAAAGGCAGAAGUCGUUAACUGAAAACUCGACUUAAUAUUAUUCAACUUUUAACUCUUUUUCUCUCCAUAUUACCUUUGAACUAUUCGUGACCUAAUUCCUUAUAACCCGGGAUAGAUAGGAUGUCCAAAAACAGGACUCGGUCACAUUUUUACUUUUAUUUUUAAUUUCAUUUUAUCCUUACCUUUCAAAUAAUUGGAGGGUUAAAAAUCAUAUCUUGUCUACUUUGUAUGAAAACUCUUCGAGAUUCCACACAAAGAGGGGAAAAAAUGUAGACACAUGAUUUUUUAUCUUUCCUAAUUUUAACUCAUUUAUCGAUAUUAAAUAUUUAUAUUUAUAUUUAUAUUUAAUCAUAUAUUAUUUUGAUUCUUAUUUUAUUUUUAAUAAAUUUUUAUUUAAAAAAAUAAAUAAUUAAAUAAAUUUAGCUUUAAGNNNNNNNNNNNNNNNNNNNNNNNNNNNNNNNNNNNNNNNNNNNNNNNNNNNNNNNNNNNNNNNNNNNNNNNNNNNNNNNNNNNNNNNNNNNNNNNNNNNNNNNNNNNNNNNNNNNNNNNNNNNNNNNNNNNNNNNNNNNNNNNNNNNNNNNNNNNNNNNNNNNNNNNNNNNNNNNNNNNNNNNNNNNNNNNNNNNNNNNNNNNNNNNNNNNNNNNNNNNNNNNNNNNNNNNNNNNNNNNNNNNNNNNNNNNNNNNNNNNNNNNNNNNNNNNNNNNNNNNNNNNNNNNNNNNNCCUUAAUCUCUAUAUUUAAUGGUACUUACACUGUUUUCAAAAGGGGAUUCUACGUACAUUCAUUCUCAGACACAUAUAGAUUAUCAGAAAGAGAAAGUUAGAUUGUGAAAAAUAUCAGAUAAAAAGAGAGAAAAGAGGAUGAAGUUGAAUUUGAUUCCGUUUGAGUUUUCAGUGCAGACUGUUUCUCGCUUUAUUUUUCAGUUCAAGUAAUUACAGGUUCUUUUCAAUCUUGAAUCAUUUAUGUUGUAAGUUUAUAGAGGAAAAAAAGUAUGAAUAAAAAUAUCAAGUGAUUUCAUGCUUUAUGAAUGGUUGAUUGAUCAAAAGAAUAUUUGUUAUUAUAUGUUAUGAGAUUAAAAUUAUCGAAUAUUUAUAUAUUUGUACAUGAAAAAGUCUCUAAAUUAAAACUCUGUAUGUUGAUACUAUUAAAUUUAAAAUGGGGACACAAAGGAAAACAGUGAAUCAAAAAAAAUAGAUUCUAUUUCUCACAUGCACACACUGGAACAUGAAUACCUUAUAAACUGCACACAUCACUCACAGAUAUAGCAAUUCACGCGCAUGAAAAUAAAAUACAUGCAUAUAAAAAAUGAGAUUGGAAUAAAAAAUCAACAAAGACAGAAUAGUUGGGAACGGAGAAAAAAUCAGUGAAAACAGAAACGAGAGGGAGAUGAAAAAUUAUUUGAAGGAUAAAAGGAAAAUCAUCAAUCUUUCUCUGAAUUUUUCGGCGAAUUUUCUUGCCGGAAAUACAUCAAAAAAUUCACCAUUGUCUGAAUUCAUUCUAUUUUUGUCAAAAUUUGACCCUUAUAGUUAGUUCUGGCGAACCAACUCGCCGGAAAAACUUCGCCGUCCCUGCGCCGUCACUCCCCUCCCCAGAUCUAGCCGGAAUCUUUUCCAUCGACGAAAAACCGCUGCUGUCGUCCCCUCUCCCAUCCCCAUUCACCGAUGUAACCUAAAACCGGCGUAAUUCCGCCGGUAACCACCCCUGAACCGGCGAAAAAUUACCAGAUCUGCCGUGACUCGUCGAUUUCCUUCCUUUUCCCUUUUCCAGCGAUCUCCAUUGCUGUCAUAAAUAUUGUAAAAAAGUAAAGAAAAAGUUUUUGUUAUUUUUUCUUUUGGAAUACUGAAUGUACGCAGAAGAGAAGAUAUCUUUAUAUUUCUUUUAUUAUUGUUUUCUUUUAGGAUAAAUACUCAUGUCCCUAUGUUUGUGUAUAAUUUAAAAUUAUUUUAUUUAAUAAUUAGUAAAAAAAAUAAAGUAUGAAUAAAUUUGAUACUAAUAAAAUUUAUUAUUUAUUUCGAGAAUUUUCGUGUAUGAUUUAUCUUAUAAUAUAUAAUUUGAGUUUAUUUAAUUUAAAAAGAUUAUUUUCACGAAAAAUUAUUAUUAUAAUAUAUGUAGAUUUGUAUAUUUUAUUAUUUUAUUAACAGAAUUUAAUAAUUAUUUAUUUAAUUAAUUAUAUUAAAUGAAUUUUGCUUUAAUUUAUUAUUAAGGGUUUAGAUAAAUUUUAGAUGCAUUUUAAACAUUCGUCUCAAUUAAGAAUGCGGCAUACGUAUCUUUUGAGACAUUUAAAAUUUAAGGAUGCAAUAAUGCACCUUGAUAAAUAAUUUUUCUAAAAUUAUUUUUUUCGUUGAUAUAUUUAAUAUAAAAUAAUAGACAAGUUUUUUUCGGUAUGAUAAAAUAAGUGAAUUUAGGCCUUAACACAAUUUAUUAAAAUAGUUUUAGUUAAGUACAAGUCAAUAGAAGCGAUUGUGCUAGAACCACGGGACUCGAGGAGUGUCUAACACCUUCUCUUCGAUCAAUAGAAUUCCUUACCCGAUCUUUUGUAUUCGCAAAUCAAAUAAAAGAGUCAUUUCCUUUUGACUAGGAAUUCAAAAAGGUGACUUGGAGCACCAUAACUCAAUUUCAAGUGGCGACUCUGUAAAUAAAAUAAUCCCUAUCCAAAACCGUUACUUGAAUUGGAAAAACCCUUCGACCUCGACCCUCGAGCGAAAAAGGGGUGUGACAGUGUAUUCUUUUUUCUUGCAGAAAUUCCUAGUGUUUAUUUUGUGUGACUUGAAUGAAUCCCUUCAGUAUAUGCUAGAUCCGCCCUUAAGUAUGUAUAUGACUUGAGUCUGACCUCAGCGUGAUAUAUACAUGCAUAUAUGCUCACAACUCCACUUACCAGCUGUGCAACCUUUAGCCCAUUUUGUUCUUUUAUAUCUUUUCUCAUCUCUAGAAAAUUCGAUAUAUGUUGCUGCAGUCCAUUUCAGUUCAAAUGUUAUUUUACAGAAAAAAUUAACAUAAGCGAGUUAUUAAAAAAACACAAAUUUGACUGAAGAUCUUUAUAGGCUUUUUUUUCUCCGUAUUCGUAAGUAAACAUAAGAGAUUAUUUUCUCCCAACUAAGCGUACAAUAUGCAUGCAUGCACACACAUACAUUGUCUAUCUAUCAAGAGGAUAGUGAUAAACACGAAUUUUCAAAUCCUCGACCUACUGAUUGAUGAUGAAGGGAAGGCGAUUAAUUACUUGCAGAGCAGAGCAACUCCCAGUUGCUCUUCACUCUCCUGAUUAGAAGUGGUGAACGUAGAAAAAAAAAAAUUGUGGGUGGGGGAGGGGACCCUAUGCAUUAAUAUUACGAGAAAUUGACAUAAAUAUACAACACUAACAUAAUAUAUAUUGGCAACAUCAUUGCCAAAUAAAUACUUAUUUGCAAAAGGAAGACCCAAAUUAAAUGGCAUUAAUUAGCCAAUAAAUGCGUCUUUUUUUUUUUUCGUUUUAAAUCUCAAGUAAAAUUCUUAGUCACGAAUUUCUUCCAUGAAAAAAUGGUUCAAUUGCAUUCUUUUGUAGCCGGCCCUAUAUUAGGGAUGCAUUUUACACAAAUUUCAUCAUAAUUAAAUUGCAAAAGAGAAAGUUGUAACAAAAAGAAGAAAAUCUAAUCAGAAUCCUUGACGCAGAUGACUACAUUGCAUCUUUUGGUCCAUUACAAACGAGAAUGCAAUUGUAAUAAUAGCUUUGUAUAUAGGUACUGGUUAUAAUGAAUUCAUUAACAUUAGUGCAUCUUAUCUAAACAUAAAUACAACUCUCAAUUUCUUAGAUGUGCGGUGUCAAAUUGAUGUUUAUACAAAAUGAUAUGGGAUUACAAGUAUACAUCGAAUUGAAGAAAGGGCAUCUCAAUUUUAAAGUUUAUCCUUUGUGUAUGAGUUGAAAAACUAACGAUAUCCAUAGCGUUCUUUCAAUUGAUGUAAUUGGAACAAGAAUCCAUAGAAUUCUAAAUAAUGGUAUUCUGUUACAAGCAAAUAUCGACACAAUCUUGAUGUUUGAACAAAACAUGUAUCGAGUUAUUUUGGUUAAAAUAUGACACUAAGAAAUACUUACAAGAAAAUGGAAGCUUCUCGUGGAUUUGUGAUGGACUGAAUCAUAGUAAAUUGGCAGAAUAUAUGAAGAAAAUGAAAGAUAAAAAAAGUGGGUAAAAAGAUAUGGUGAGGAAGGGAAAGUAUGGUUAAUUUUGAAAGUGAAACGAGAAAAGAUACGGAGAAGAAUGAGAGAAAAGCAGGGUGAAUUAAGAAGGUAGUUUUGAAAUAUUUAAGUAAGACAGAGAAAAUGUUUAAUAAUUAAAAUAUAUAUAAUGAAGAGGAUUUAAAAUGUUUUUGGCUAGUGAUAAUUAGCCAAAUAGGUUAGCUUUGGCCAUUUGAUUAGCCAAAAAAGGUUAACUUUGGCCAUUUGAUGCCAAGCAUAACAGAUAUUGGCUAUACUUCACCAAUUUGAACUCUACGUUGUUACACUUUGCAAAUUUUUCCAUUACGACGUGGUUGAUUUGGGCUGACAAGUCCAACCUGAAUCACUAAAUCUCAGCCCAAUAGGAUUUAUGGACCUGUUGGACUAUUAUCAACUGCUCCCAUCAGUGACUUGUUCAGCUUCUGCUAGUGCUUCGAAAAUAACAUUAAUUAAUAGGGGAACAUCACAAACCUUUCACAUAUAAGUAGUAAAAUGGAGAAUAAGAAGCAGCUCUUUUUUUUUUUUCUUUUCUUUUUAUUUGGUACAUAAAAAGGGAAAAGCCAUACUGAUCAAGUUUCACUAUUGAUAAUCCCCCCCUAAUACUUUUUAAUAGUAGUAGAGGCUAAUUAAGAGUGAUCAUUGGAAUAGCUAGGUUCAUCAUUUUGAGUAGGAAGUGGAAGGUGACCCUUCUCCUGCAGACUUUUCACUGUCUCAUAUAAGCAUUGUUUCACAGGCGUAAAUUCCAAGCCCAAGUCCUUUAGCUUUUGGUUCGUGAAUUUGUACGGUUUUUCCCUUGGCCUCGUCUCAUCCGAGCAC